rnacentral:lncRNA from 1 species
UUGCACAAAGACAAUCUCUACAAAUGCUAAGGUUCUUAAACACCCAGACAGGUUUCAGACUGGAGGUGCUUAAAAGGCCAAAAACAACAGCAAUUUUUUCACUGUGCUGGAGUAAAUAUUGUUCCUUCUGUCCCUCCUCCACAUCAUGAAGAACAAAUUCAGUAUUGAGAACAUAACCAAGUUUCUUUAUACGACUAGCCAAUUGGUCCCGUUCGUCAUAGAUGUCCUGAGCCUCCGGGUGUGAUGUAUAAAACUUGUGAACUAUACUUUUCACUUCAAUCCAGCUUCAACCAGUUUCUUUUAUAAGAUUUUUCAGUUUUAUCCUCUUCCUGAUUGGCGCUGCAUCUUCCCAUAGACCAGCUGAUGCAUACAGAUUUGAUAGCAAAACAUAAGCAGCAAGGUCAUCUGGCUCCUGCUUAAAAAUCAUUGCAGCUUCUUGUUUUACAAGUUCAAUGUUGCCGUGAACUCGGCAAGCUCCAAAAAAUGUAUGCCAGACCAAUGUAACAGCACUGAAAGGCAUAGCAUUUAUAAACUUAAGGGCUUCAACCAGGAAGCCCGAUCUUCCCAAUAAGUCCACCAUGCAUGCACAGUACUCGAUUCUGGGCACGAUUCCAUAAUCUGUCUACAUUGAUCUAAAGUGUUUCUAUCCAUCAAAUCCACAUGCCUACAAGAGGAUAAAACAACAACAUAAGUGAUCUCAUUUGGCCUCACACUGGCCUCAAGCAUUCUAUGGAAUGUGACUGGAGCUCUCGUCGCAAAUUUAUGUUUUGCAAAAUUAUUGAUCAUUGAAGUCCAAUUUAUAAUAUUUUUGUCUCUGGUCUCAUGAAAAACUCAAAAAGCAGCUCCUAUGUUUCCACAUAGAGAUCAAACCAUUAAAAAUGCACUGACUUGAGUCGAGCCCUGAUUUUACCACCCUCACAUUAAUUUGCUCCCCCUUACCAAUAGUGCUGAUACAGGCAACUCCACUUAAAAGGCUGGCAAAUGUAAAAUCACUUGUCCAAGGCAUCAUUUUACGAUCUUGCAUCCGAUGAAACACCUUUGUCGAAUCAUGAAGUGAUCCACUUGCUAGUUGUACAUACAUUGGGCUCUCAAGUCAAGUCCACUUAAUUGAACCCACUUCACAAAUUCAAACCCCGCCCAAACAAGUUAGAUCCAAACCCAAUUAACUAAACCAGGCCCAAUUCACCAAGCUACAGCUAAAGCCCGACACUCACCACCCUUGUAGUAAAGACGAAGCCCAAAUCACCAAAAUUACCACUUCAAGCCCAAGGCUCACGAAGUCUAAACGAGCCCCAAAGCCCACUACUCUCCCGCCAUCAAUUUUCCAACCCCGCGACUGCUCCUCAACAUCGUCUCCUUCGAGCAUGCCCGAAACGCCUGCGACCUCCCCUCAUCUUUUACGCUCGGUUCCCUUCUCCCGGCACUCCCCACCUCCAAUCUCUUUCGCGAUGGAGUUUUCACGUCUAUAGAUUAAUACCUAAAGCUUCACUGAACCGGAAACACUCAAACCUUCCACCGGCAAUACUCUAACACCGCCGUCGCUAAUUCUCCGCCCAUCAGCUAUAACCAUUGCCAUGUUACCGGCCACCACCAGCCACUUACUUUCACAGCCAAUAAUGACUGGAGAAGAACAGAAAGAGGAUGGAUUUAGCUGAGACAUUUUAUCGAACACUCGGCGGGCGUCGACUGAGAGUCACCACGACAAGCAUUUGAGACACUGGCCGGAGCCAAUUCCAUCCAUAAUCAACAAACAACGCCCAGUAUAAACAAUAUAAGCCAUGAGAAACUCGGCGUGCGCCAAAAUCAGAGCCGGCGAGCCUGGGUCCGUAGAUUCAUUAAAAACAAAAAAACACACAUAAUAGAGGCGUGGGAGCGUACGACCGUGUGAUCCCUACCCGGCUCGACAACGACGGCCAGAAGGCGAGCCCGAAGCUAAGCUCUGCGUCUCGCUUUCUCUCAGUCCCUUCCUCUGCUCACUCUAGGUUCUCGCUCUCUUCCCCGCCGCGCACCCACCACCCCCCCCGGGGUUCUUCCUCUCGGCCGCCUCUCUGUCCAGUCCCUCUCCCUCUUUCGAAUGCUCACCACCCUCUCUUUUACAAGAAAUCUCCCCGGUGAGUUCCCCUGCCACCACCUAUCCUCGGGACCAAGUUAGGUCCAUUUCCAACUAAGCUGGCCUCUGCACUCGUGCCUAGCACGCCCCCUCUACCAGCCGUAGCCCUGUCUAUCGCUUGCUUUCUCUGCCUCCUACGCGCCUGCGUGAGGGAGAGAAGAAGAGAGAGACAUAAACGUUGGAGGCCUGGGUUGAGAAGGAAGAAAAGAAAGGGCCGGGUGGAGAGGCCAGAUUAGCAUAAUAUAUAUAUACAAAUAUAUUAAAAAUAAUUCACAUGAGCAUUAGCCGGCUAAAAUUGAACUAAUGGAUUAAAUUUUCACAAAUGUAAAAAUGUUUAGAACUUAAUUGAUAAAAAAAUAUUCAUAAUUGAAUUAACAUAAUUGCAAUCGAUUUAUGAUUUUUUUGGUAGUUUUUCCUUUCUUAAGUUUGUACCACUAAAGAAAAUAUGACGUAAAUAGAUUUUUCAGUUCGAGCAAAUUUGCUUAUUCGAGGGCGUAUUUAGUUUAAAUGAUUUUAUAAUUUGAGUAGCUUUUUUUGAAAGGGUUUCCUGUUUGUGAUAUCAUUUACGGAAAGAAAAUGUCACAAAUAGUCCCUAUACUUUUACUUAAUGUGCAAUCUCAUCCCUGAACUUUCAAUUUGCUUAUUUUGGUCCCUGAACUAUCGCUAAAUGUUCGAUCUAGUCAUUCCGUUACUAUUUUUCCUUUUCUUCUUCUUCUUCUUCUUCUUCUUCUCUCUUCUCUCUGCCGGCCAUGGCGGAGCUGGCAGAGGAAGCUGGCGUUCGGUGAGGGCAUUGGGCCUCCCUCACCUGCGUCAGGUGAGGACGGCCCUCACCAGAUCUGGCAAGGGCACCCCUUGCCCGACAUCGGCAAGGGCGGCCCUCACUCGAUGCAGGCGAGGGAGCCCCUUGGCCUGACGCAAGCGAGGACAACCCUCGUCUGACGUAGGACGGCCCUCGCCGAACGUUGGCUUCCCUCCGUCGGCUCCGCCAUGGCUGGCGGAGGGAAGAGAGAAGAAGAAGAAAAAAAAGAAAAGAAAAAGACCAAAAUACCCAUGUUGACACCUAAAUUUUGAUUAAUCAUUUAAUAAUUAAUUGCAUGAAAAUUUAGGGAUUAAUCUUUAACCCCUAAGAAAAAAUAGUAAAAUUGCAUUUCAUGUAGUCGCAUUUGCAUCAGUACUAAAAUGGCAACAAGAUGCAGCAGCUCGUGGUCGAUAAUAUUCACAAAAUGAUUGUCUCUCUCUCAUCAAUGCAUGCAUUAAUUCGGCUGAUGUGGUAGGGGCCCUCGAUCAAUAAGAUGCGCGAAAUGUGGUCUCUCUCUUGCUGGUAUGAAAACACACAAUGAAAGUCAAAAAAAUAGAAGAAAGAAGAGUUCUUGCACGUCCGUUGUCUCUCCCUCGUUAAUGCAUGCGCAUGCAUGCACAAAUUCCGCGAACGUGCAGAUUCUAGAGGAACCCUCAUAGAAGCAAAAUGAGUAAGUGUGGGUGUUAACUCUAGUGAAGCAACGAGAAAUUUGAUGAAGAAAGAAGCAAGUAACAAGCAAGAAAAGUCAAAAGUUGCGGCAGUCCUAUAGAAGGGAGGGACAAGUAGCCGUAUAAGAAGCUCCAAGCAUGAAGAAGAAAUAACCAUCCAACGUCCAUUUUCUUCCCCCUCAUUAAUGCCUGCACAUGCACGCAUUAAAUUGGGGACAUGAAAAUUCUACAGAUGCCUGCAAGAAGAUGGACUAACAUUUUUAUAAUGUUAUCCUUGCUGAAGAGAGCAGAUCGGUGGAAAAAAAGAACCGAACGUGAACAGCAAGGAAAAGUUACGGCUGCUUCCUGGUCACCUGUUCACACUAAAGUCAGUUGUUGCCUAUAAAUAAGCAAGGAUCCUCGGCUUAAAAGGAGGGGAGCUGGGAGGAGGAACGAAGCAUUCACUGAGAGGUUUGUGAGAGCUAUCCGUAUAGAGACACAGGAGUUGAGAGAAAGGAAGAGAUUAAAAAAAAACAACAAGUGACUCUCGUCAGAAAGCAAAAUAGAAAAAUUUUGAGGGGGGCUUCUCCUUCGUUCAAAAAAAAGAGAGACAGAGAGUUUGUCAAAAAAAAAAAAAAAAAAAACAAAAAGGUGAAGCUAAAAACAGAAAAAAGGUACACUGAAAGUGCAGAGAGAGAGAGAGAGUACAGAGACGGAGAAGGGACGUGCGAAGGAGAAGCGCCCACUGUUCUUCUCCUUCGCUGAACUUUCCGCCGGUUUCUGCAGCCCGCGUCCGCGCUCGCUCCACCGCGCCUCUGCACCCACCGUUCGAAGCCACAAGUGACGCCCGCGAACUGUAGCACCUGUCACUGAGUCCUGCUCGUCGCUGCGCCCGCUGUCGCACCGCCGAGUCCUGUCCGUUGCUGCUGCAUUAAGCCGACAACCCGCGCUUCUGCUCGCCCGUCGCCGCGCCCUGCCCAUCGCCGCGCCCGUCGCUGCACUUCAGCCCGGCGUCAGCAUCUCCCUCCAGCGAGUUCCGAGCGCGCCACCGUCUUCGCCGGAACACCAGCAGCACCACCUCUACGCCUGCAGCCCGCGCCUCUGCACCGCGCCAUCACUGCGGCUGCGCCUGGUGCCCGACCAGCCGCUGCCACACCUCCGCACCUCUGCCCGCUCGCCGCCGCUGCUGUGCCUCUUACCGCCCGACGCCAGUACCCGACGCCCGCGUCCGAGUUCCGCCCGUGACCCAGCACCCGACGCCGCGUCAUCGUUCCUGCCGUCGCCGCUCGUCAGCCCGUCGCCCUGCAGCUCGAAGCCACGAGCAAAGCUCGCAACCCCACCGCCUUUGCUUCUGACUUGCGGUCGCUGGAGCCCCGCUCCACUUGUAGCGCCCGACGUCCCUCUCUCGCGCCUGCCCGUGCCGCUGCCGCUCGGUCCGCCCAGCACCACCAGCCACGACGCCCUUGCUGUCCUGAGCUCGCUGACUCGACGCCGGCCUGCUCGCUGCUCCGCCAAGUCCGCCAGCUAUCCCUCACGAGUUGCUGCGCCUGAGCUGCCCCCACAAAGCCCGUGACGAGCUUGACCAGAAGCUGCUGUUGCGUUGCAACCGCCACAGCCCGACCCCGACGCUAGCGAGUCGCACGCCCUCCGCUUCUCCUGCACCAGCGGUGGUUGCUGCUUUGCCGCUCCUGGUCCGUGUUUGUUGCCACUCGCCGGAGCUCCGGUUGACGGCGAACCACCACCGGCAGCAACCCACCACCACAGCCACCUUCCUUAUCCGUGCCGAGCCUCCAUCGUGGUCUACAAAGUACCACUCGUUAAGGCAAAUUUGGAAAAAAUUCAAAUUAGGUAGGUUUAUUUAUUAGAUAGAUCUAUUUUAUUUUAUGUUAUUUUAUCUUUAAUAUUUCGUUUUUUAUGUUAUGUUAUCUUAAUAUUUCGUUUACUUUAUGUGAAUUAGUCCUUAAUGCAUGUUUGAAAAUCCCUGAUGUAUCACCUAAUUCGCAACCGCACAAUGAUUUUUUAUUUCAUCUAUAAGGCUUUAGAUGGAAUAAUUAAUCACGCGGGAAUAAAAUUGAUAUUUUGAUCUUUAAGGCUUAAGAUCAAUUUAUUAAUUUUAUUAGUGAAACAACCAUGGAGGAUUUGGUAUCUUUUAAUUGUUUUGUUUAUCUCAAAAAUACAAAAAAAUUGCAUUUACNNNNNNNNNNNNNNNNNNNNNNNNNNNNNNNNNNNNNNNNNNNNNNNNNNNNNNNNNNNNNNNNNNNNNNNNNNNNNNNNNNNNNNNNNNNNNNNNNNNNAAAAAUUAGUUUUUUUUAAAUGCAUGUUUAGAUGGCAUCUAGGUUAGAUAAAAUCUUUGAAUUAAAUUGCAUGAUGAGAUGAUUUUCUAAGUUGAGAUAGGAGUUAGAUUAGUCUAAUCCUAACUUAAAAUAGAUAAUGUCUCGCUUUAGUUAGAUUUUUUUAUAUUUUAGCAAUUUUAAUUACGAAAUUUUCAUUUAAAAAAUCAUGCGCAUGUCGUGUAGAAUUAGGUUCAUGAAAUGCACGUCAUUUAGUAACUACACUAGGUUCAUUUAAUUAGAAAUUGCUCGUCAUUAGAAUUAGGCCAUUUGGUUAAUUUAGAUUGCACAUUUAAUUAUUGGACAAUUUUCAUUUCGAAUUUCAUGAAAAAUACCAAAAAGAAUUGUCUUAGAAUUAAUUUUAUCCUCUAGGAUAUAUUGCAUGCUUAUUAAGAAAACACAAAAACAUCGCAUUUGCAUCAUACAGUUUAGGCCAUAUUAUCAUGUCAUAUUAUUCCAUGUUAGAUUAGUAGCAUGCAUUGCAUAUUGCAUGAUUUUUAUUAAAUAAGUGAAAAAAAAAAAAGAAAUUGCGUGUUAAUUAGAAAUCAUAUUUAGACUGUCAAUGUGAAUUCUAAUCUAAUAUUGCAGAUGCUUUCGUUGCUAUGAGGUAAGUCCUGCCAUUUAUUCACUGCUUUAUUUGGGUGUUAAAUUGGUGGUUUACGCACCCGCAUGAUCACCCCACAUGUUAGAAAGAUAAAUUAAAAUCAAUUUAAGCUGCCUGCAAAAAAAAAAAAACAUUUUUGAAAAUAAAAAGAAUGGUACCGAAAGGGGAAAUCUAAUGUAACCAAGUCCCCGAACUCACAAUCUCUGGUUCGUAGGAGUGAAGUAAUUCUCCCAUUACUUUACUUGGGUUUCUAAUCUACCCACCAAAAAUAGAUUAGUGGCGACUCCUAAUUGAAAAUCAAUUGCAUGUUAAGAACUUGAACCUAAGUCAUGAAUUGGUAUGGGCUUGGGAGAGCCCGAGUUAAGUCUAGGCUUAACAAUUCAUUAAUCUAAACCGUAGGUGGUGCACCUGAAAUUUAGGUUGCGACAACCCAAUUCCGUUAACUUUAACUAACGGAAGGACGAAAUUGGUCAAUUUUCAAAUCGUUAGGGACUAGAUCGGACAUUUAUUGAUAGUCUAGGGACCAAAUUGAGCAAAUCGAAAGUUCAGGGACAAGAUUGCACAUUAAGUAAAAGUAUAGGGACUAUUUGUGACAUUUUCCCUUUAUGGAAGAGAUAGAAUUCUACUCAGUUAAUGCACGCUAAAGCAAACAAGAAGAGUGUUAGGGUUAUUUGUUUUUGUGAGUUUUCUGAUGAUUCUCUUCAAGAGAUUAUGACAUAACAUGGUUUGUUUUGGUAAUCAAAAAAUUAGUUUGAGGUAAAUUUAUCACAAGUGUAUCAAUUUUGGAUUUUUCAUGAUAUUAAUCCUUAAAUAAAUAUAAAAAAUGAAAUCCAAAUAGAAUAACAUGACUUUGGCAUGAAAUAAUGCUACUAUACACUUAAUGAAUCUUUCAUAUCAUAAACGCUAUUCCAUAAGGAUUAUUAAUCUUUCAAACAGAUUAAUAAUAUACUUAUCGUCAUCUUGUUAAGGGGAAAAAGAUUCUUCCUCCUUUGCCCGCAAAAAAGAGUUUUGGGAGAGGACCGGUUCUUAGCUUUUGAAAUUGGAAACUGGUUGACGCCAAGCUUGUCGCCAUGAAGGGCAUUGAUUUUUUUUGUUUUUGUUUUUUUUUUUUUUUUUGGGGGCCGGGGGGGGGGGGGGGGGGGGGGGGGGGAGGAACUUGGACCGGAUACUGAGGGAGGCAAGGGUGUGGGAGAUCUUGUGGUCAAUGAAGCCAAACUUGCUGACGCCGGUGAAGAAGAUGGUGCUGCCGGUGGAGGAGGAUUUGAGGAGGAGCGUCUACGUGAAGGGAAAAGUCCGAGGGAGUUUGAGGUUCUGGAAGAAGUUGAGGUGGCUCCGCUGGGAUUGGAAGAGGUUGAGGAGGGUGGAUUCGUUGAUGGCAGUGGCUAUGUUCUUUGCUUGAUCCAAAGGUAAAUCUGGGGUUGAAGGAGGGAGGUCUACGAAGGAGAGAGGAGGGAGAGGCCUCAUUUUUCCUUCUUCUUCGAAAGUUGAGAGAACAUUUGAAGAUCUUGCGUUUGAUCCAGUUUAGGUGGUUGAUUGAUCCGGUUCCUACUUUGGAACUGGAAUUGGAUUGCCCGUCACUGAUUCCACUUUAAUGGAACUGGGAACUAGAGCAGCACCUUUGGAAAUCGGCCAGGAAAUUGGCCGGUUUGGUUUGAUCUGGGCAAUCUCAGUUCGGGCGGCUCCCAUUGUAACCCCUAGAAAAUAAGCUUUUGAGAUAGUCGACUUGGAUUGGCUAAUGGAAGAACAUUGGAAAAAAAAAAAACUCAUAUGAUGCGUUUGAUUCACAAAAAGAAAUAAAGUAAUAAUGAAAUAGCCUUCCAUGAGAAUAGAAAAUGUAGGAAUAGAAAAUGAAGGAUAAUAAUAAAAUAACUACCAGUAGUUUGGUUUGUAGAAUGGAAUAUAAUUUCAAGACCAUCUUAUCAUUUUUUUUACCAUUAUACCAUAUAAAAUAAGUUAGGAAUAAUAAAAAAUUCUCAUAUUAAUUUCGAUGAUAGAUAAUUGGAGCUUAAUUUGUUUUAUUGUCGUAGUUUUAAAAACCAUAAAUAAAAGGAUCUGACAAUUUAUAAAUUAUUAUUAUAUUUUAAUGUAAAAUAGUAAAUAGUUAGUAUAGUAGUAAGAAAGCUAGUGUAAUCAUUAUCUUCCAAUAAUAAUUAAGUAAUGCUAUAACUGUAGACAAUAUAAAAGAUCUAAUCAUUACUAUAAUUCAAUAUUAUAUUAUCAGUGGUCUAAUUACACUAUAGUUGUCAUUUAAUUAUUGUAAUUAGAGCACAUAUGGUUUUGGUAUUACAUGAAUAUCUAUAAUUAAUUUGAUUAAAAAUUAUUUUAUCACAGUAUAUGUAUUUUCUAGCAAUUGCUAUAUAUUCUAGUAAUGCAUCAUCUAAUUAUUGUGAUAUCUAAGAUUUAUUAAAUAUUGCAGUUAUUAAAAUCUUUGUUUAUAUAUGAGUCAACAAUUAUGAUGUGGUAUUUUUAAAAGAUGUGCAUUUGAAUUUUUUUUUAGUCAAUUUAUUGCUAUUCUAAUUUUCACUCUCAAACUUUUACUUUGCUUCUUUGUAGGGUAUGGGAGUCGAAAUUUACAUCUAAAACUAAGUUGUCUUCACCCCAACUCUCUUUGAGAAGAUAAGGAUUUGAACUCUCAAUCUCUCAAUUUCCAUGUGAAAAGGAUGGUUUGCAUUUGAAUUUUAAAAAAUCGAUUUCAUUUAGAAUUUAAUAUCUUUUUGAUUGAACGGGAACCUUUUUAUCCACGCUAGUUGGCAUAGUUGGUAACAUUUAAUGUGAAAUAGUACCCAUCAAAUUAAAAAGAUAAACAUAAAAAUAACCUAACUUUGACAAAUCUCAAGUACAUGAUUCCAUUCCCAACUAGAAAAUGGAGAAUUGACACGGAGGUUCUCUCUUUUCCACUUGGCCCAAUACUUGGAAUCGAACAUCUAAAAACUCAAACAAGAAAAAAAAAAAAAUACGUGAGAAAGUUUUCCAAUUCUACCAUAAUUGUCUUGGUCGAUCAUUGAUUUAAUUGCUAAGAAAACAUCACCGUGGCGUUUCUAAUCCCAAAGUCCGUCAAUAUAUAGACUUUAACUAUAUAUAAAUACCUUUCUCAAUGCCACGAUAACCUCAAGAGGAACAGAAAAGGCAAGACACUAGCAAGCUAUAACAAUUAGUGUGGACAAAAAAUUUAGGUCUAGUCGAAAAGAAUCUAAACUCUAAAUGAAAUUGGACUUUUAAAAUUUCAAAAUGUACACUUUCUAAAAACUUGGCAUCAUAAUUGUUUUUUGUUUUUGUUUUUUUUUUUUUGUGCUGGAGGAACCGCCGCGUCGUAAACCCCCAGGUGACACUUAAGCAGGAGGACUCACCACCCCUGAGUCACACUUAAUACACCUAGCACCUUCCCUGAGUUUUGAACCCUUCUAAACUCUAAAAGAAAUUGGACUUUUAAAAUUUCAAAAUACACACUUUCUAAAAACAUGGCAUCAUAAUUGUUGAUCCCCAUCUACUUGCACGCAAAAAGAGAGCCAAGUUUUGACCAAUUUUAUAUCACUAGCAGGUGGGGGUAAUUAACGAGUGGACGGCUUGCUCCGAGUCAAGCUUGGGCGGCACUCUUGCAUGAGAAAGUCUGACCCGCACGACUUUAAUUAGCCUGGUCCUACCAGAUAUAAGCUUUAUGUUCUGCGCGGGCUUGGACAUGUUCUUACUUGACUGGGUAUCAAAUAAAAUUAGCCUGGUCCUACCAUAUAAAGUCUGACCCGCGCGACUUUCAACCGUCGACUUUUAAUGGCUUGAAGCUUGAACCACUUGGAUUCAGACCGUCUUUGCUUUCUCUGAAGGUGUUCAUGUUAUUUAAUGCGGUUUAGCAAGAAAUUCUGCGCUCAUUCCCCUUUACUUGGUUUGGAGUUUCCACCCGCGAAUCUCAUCCUGUGUCAUGGCGGUUUUGUUCUUUUGCCCAUCAGUGCAUUCAACUGGUAGUGAAUCAAAUCAGAUAAUAGCGAGUAAGAUGAUAUUAAUCUUUUGUAUCAAUCAAUACAUCUCCUAGUACAGACAAACACUGUUUGCCUAUUUGGAAAAAUGUAAGACCCCAUUUCAUGUCUCAGCAUUGAGCGAACACAAAAUUCUCAUUAUAUUUAGGGAUUGAGCUUGUGCAUCACAUUUAGGCUUUUGCAUGAUGUGCAUGAUGUGCAUGAUUGGGACUUGUUAAGUAGAGAGGAAGAUUGAAUAACUGAAGAUGAUCGUUUUCUAUCUUGCCCUUAAGAUCAAAAUGAGAUGUGAAAAUUCAAGUUUGUCUAUGUCGAUUCAACUAAUUAAUGAUGCUUAAAAUUCUGUGCUGACAGUCUAAUUAUAUAGUUUUCGAAACUAAAAUAGUCAGGUAUUAACUAAUAUAGCUUUUUGGGAACAGUGUGUAUGGACUUGCCAAGAUCAUAGUAUCCAUAAAAUAAAUGAAAUAUAAUUAAGGAUGAAACCAAGUAACCAUAGCAAUGCACCCUAGUGACAUCAGGAACACUCUGGAAUAGAACAGAGCAUCGAUAUCUAGUAUCUGAAAAAACUGCAUGCUCUAAAAAAUCACAUAGGCAAAAAGCGCCACUGUUUUAGAUUCCACAAAUCAUAUUGCCGAAAGUUUGCAAGAUCCAUUUGAGGCCUUCCGCUUGGUAUUUUGACAGCAGUAUGACCAUAUCUAGGGCUUGCAAGGAGAAUAAUGGAUCCUGGUUCAAAUAACAUAGGUGCAAGGGAGAAAGUUCUAAAAUAGAGAUUCGAUGCAGACAAUGAAUGAGACAAAUUAAGAAGCAUCUCGCCAGUAGUCAUUGCAUGAGCAUGUUCAGUCCGUGCAAUGGUGGAAUUGGUUUGCAUCCCUUAUGACUAUAGAACUUCCAGUUGCCAUGGAGAUAUACUUGAUCGCAGAAUGACAAUCUCUGCAAAUGCUAAGAUUCUUAAACGAAAUAUCAUAGUAUCCAUAAAAUAAAUGAAAUAUAAUUAAGGAUGAAACCGAGUAACCAUAGCAAUGCACCCUAGUGACAUCAGGAACACUCUGGAACAGAACAGAGCAUCGAUAUCUAGUAUCUGAAAAACUGCAUGCUCUAGGAAAAUCCCAUAGGCAAAAAGCGCCACUGUUUUAGAUUCCAUGAAUCAUAUUGCCAAAAGCUUGCGAGAUCCAUUUGAGGCCUUCCACUUGGUAUUUUGACAGUAGUAUGACCAUAUCUAGGGCUUGCAAGGAGAAUAAUGGAUCCUGGUUCAAAUAACAUAGGUGCAAGGGAGAAAGUUCUAAAACAGAGAUUUGAUGCAGACAAUGAAUGGGACAAAUUAAGAAGCAUCUCGCCAGUAGUCAUUGCAUGAGCAUGUUCAGUCCGUGCAAUGGUGGAACUGGUUUGCAUCCCUUAUGACUAUAGAACUUCCAGUUGCCAUGGAGAUAUACUUGAUCGCAGAAUGACAAUAUCUGCAAAUGCUAAGAUUCUUAAACGCCCAGAUAGGUUUCAGACUGGAGGUGCUUAUAAGGCCAAAAACAAUGGCAAUUUUUUCGCUGUGCUCAUAUAUUGUUCCUUUAGUCUCUCCUUCACAUCAUAAAGAACAAAUUCAGUGUCCAGAAGAUCACCAGUUUCUUUAUUCGACUAGCCAAUUGGUCCUGUUCGUCAAAGAUCUCCUGAGCCUUUGAGUGUGACAUGUCACCUGUAUAGAACUUUUAAUUUUUCACUUCAAUCCAGCUACAACCAGGUUCUUUUGUAAGACUUUUUAGUUUCAUCCUCUUCCUAAUUGCUACUGCAUCUUCUUAUAGAACCAGUUGAUAAAUACGCAUUUGACAGCAAAACAAAAGCAGCAAGGUUGUCUGGCUCCUGCUAAAAAAUCAUUGCUGCAGCUUUUUUUGCAAGUACAACAUUGUUGUGAACUCGGCAAGCUCCGAGAAUUGUAUGCCAGACAAGUGUAUCGGCCCUGAAAGGCAUUGAAAUUAUAAACUGAAGGGCUUCGACAAGGGAGCCUUAUCUGUCCAAUAAGUCCAUGCAUGCAUAGUAGUCGAUUCUGAGCACGAAUCCAUGUUCUGUUGGUCUAGAGUGUUUCCAUCCACCAGAUACCAAACCCACAUAGCUACAAGAGGAUAAGACAGCAACAUAGGCGAUCUCAUUUGGCCUCACCCUGGCCUCAAGCAUUUUAUGGAAUGUGACCAGAGCUCUCGUUGCAAAGCCAUGUUUUGCAAAACCAGUGAUCAUUGAAGUCCAAGUUUUAACAUUUUUCCCUCAUCUCACGAGAAACUCAAAAAGCAGCUUCUGUGUUUCCACACCUGGAAUACAUUGAGAUCAAACCAUUGAGAAUGCACUGAUUUGAGUUGAGCCCUGAUUUGCUUCCCCUCAUCAAUAGCGCCAAUACAGGCAGCUCCACUUGAAAGGCUGGAAAAUGUAAAAGCAUUUGUCCAAUUCCUCUCUCCUCAAUCUCAUGUAGAAGUUCAAAGGCUUCAUCAGACUCCAAACUUUUGGCAAAGACAUCUGCAAGGGUAUCAUAAGAAAUCAAAUUCCUUUCAAAUAGUGCACCAAAAGCUCUCCAAGCAUAUGAUUGUAUCCCCCACAAGUAUCAAAUGCAAAGCACAUUUUUAAAGCUACAGCGUAUAUUUGAAUCCCCAUGUCUAUUAUCACAAAUACUUCCACAUGCCUUGAGAGCACUAGCUAAUGUGAAAUGGUGCUCAUUUUCUUCAGUUUGCACAUGUCCUGUGAUUAUCGGUGUCCAAGACAUCACGUUGCAAUCUUGCAUCCGAUUAAACACCUUUCUCAAAUCAUGAAUUGAUCCACUAGCCACACAUUUCACGUACAUGUCCACCAAGCUGCAUCCAACACAGACAUCUGAAGCCAGUCCAGACCAUAUAAUCAGGAAUGCAAUUGCGCCCCAAGGGAUAGUAACUCCAACCCUGAAUAUGCCGACAUAACAGCUGUAAGUGUAAAUCUAUCUGGCACAGCCCACUCCCCAACAUAUCCAAAAACAAAUCAACAGCUUUAUUUGGACAACCCAGCUGAGUACAUCUGGUCAUCAUCAACGUCCACACAACCACAUUCCUCUCGGGCAUUUUCUCAAACAACUUACGACCUGAAACCAAAUCAGCACUACCCUGCGAAAACAAGUCAAUUGCUGCACACCCGACACACACAUCAGAAUCAAGAUAGCCGCUUUUGAUUAUAAACUCGAAAAUCUAUCGCCAAUUGAUGCAUUCUUCGGAACCGAACAAGCCCGAGGGUAAAAAAAACCGUCUUCAAGCAUAUGAACGAAAGUAUCGACAUUUCUUUUCCUUUUUUUUUUUUUUUUUUGGGUCGAAGUAUCGACUGCUUCAAACGCGAUGUGGUUAUUGGCAUAUCAAGAGAUCAUGGAAGUCCAAGAAACCAAACCCCUUUUAUUACCCAUGUCCCUCAAAGUCCUCUCCGCCUCAGCCCAGUCAUUGCAUUUUGAGUAGAGACUGAUAAGCGAGUUGAGAACCACCGAGUCGGGCUCAGCUGGGACGGAGCGAGCGACCGAUGGACGCGCCUCCCGAGCGCGAGCCCUCGGGAGCGAAUGCAGGACUUGAGGAGGAGAGAGAAAGGUGAGGAGGUCGGGAUGGGACCCAUCACGGGACAUGAGGUCGAGAUGGGAGAAUGCUCCGCGGAGUUGGCAGACAUCGAGGUCGGUGACCAGGCGGCGGUCGAUGGGCGAGGGAAGGGGAGAGAGAGAGAGAGAGAGAGAGAGAGAGAGAGAGAUUCAUUCCAUUAUACAAGUCGAGCUUGAUCUGAAAUGUCAGGAAACAAGAGAUGAAAACAGAUAGCCAAAGAGGCAAUUCUUCUGCAAAACAAAGGAUGCUACAAACGCUAAAAUCACGAUUUUACGUAGUCAAUUAUGCUUCGGAUGGAACUAACUUUAUUUGGCGUUCAUUCAAACCGGAAAGAAAAGAAAAUCAUACAAUGUGCGAUUGUGGAAUCUCGUUGCUAUUUUGAAAUUGGUAUGCUUCAGAAAUUGUUGGGGCACUUGAUGUAGUUGGGAAUGAUUCAAGUUCUAUUUCAGCAUCCACAUCAUCAAAUGGCUUCUCAGACGGAUAUAGAAGUGGCUUAGGAGGGAGUUGAAGCUUAUCGAUAUCUCCUUCAAGCAUGUUUAGGACCCGGCUCAUUGAUGGCCGAUCGUUGGGGAUUAACUGUAUACACCAAAGGGCAACUAUUACCAUCUUCCUCAUUAUCUCCAUGUCCCAUUCUACUUCUUCUAUUUCAAUCUCGUUUUUUCUGCUAAGUUGAUCAUAGACCCACAAAGGGAAAUAAAUUUGACUUGAACGUUCAACAUUCGCCUUUGCAUUUUUCCUCCGACUAGCCAUUUCCAUUAGCAACAUCCCAAAACUAUAAACAUCAGCUUUAUAUGAGACACCACCAAUGUCCUUGUAGAAUAGCUCGGGAGCCAUAUAUCCCAAAGUUCCUCUUGCUGCAGUCAACGAUAUUAUGCUAUGAUCCAUAGGAUAAAGUCUUGCAAGCCCAAAGUCAGAAACUUUUGGGGUGAAAUUUUUAUCUAGAAGAAUAUUGUGAGGCUUGAUGUCGAAGUGUAGAAUUUGCAUGUCGCACCCCCGAUGUAAAUAUUCGAUGCCCCUGGCCACCCCGAGAGAGAUCUCAUAUAUUUUCUGAUAGUCAAGAGAAUUGUCGUCAUCUUUAGAGAAAAUGUGUUUAUCCAAAGAUCCGUUUGACAUGAAAUCGUACACGAGAGCUUGCUUAGAGUUGUUGAAGCAAAAACCAACAAGUUCCACCACGUUAACAUGGUGGAUUCUUCCAAUAGUAGCCACUUCACUUAUAAAAUCUUGGCCAUUAGAUUUUGGUUUGUUCAAAAUCUUAACAGCAACUUCAUUGCCACUUCUAAGUAUUCCUUUAUACACAGAGCCAUAUCCUCCUUCACCUAAUUUGUGUUUGAAAUUUUUUGUGAUUUUCUUGAUGUCCGAGUAAGAGUACCUUAUGGGCAAAAAGUUAUUAUGAGCUUGUAGGAAUUCUUCAAUCUUUCCAUCCAUUGCUUGGUGCCUUCUCAUCCACUUAUAGACUAAAAAUAUCAAUACACAUGGAGCUCCGAGUAUGAAUUUUGCCGCAAGGAACUGGGCUGUGGAAAAAUUUGUCCAUAGAUUAGCGUAGUGUAAUAUAGAAAGUUAUCCUUUUUUGGGUCAGAUUGCCGCUUGAGAUUUUCAUGGUUGUGAGGAAUAAAGGACUAGUCAGUACCUAAGAAAAAGGGGACAUAAGGAAGUGCAUAUCUCGCAACUAUCGCCACCAUAGAAGUAUCUGUAGCAAGCAAGAGAAUUUGUUUAGAGAUGACUGAAAAUGAUUAAUAAGCAUUAACAAUCAAUCGAUGGAGACCUAAAUUAUUAUUUUGGCGGUAAAGUAUAAAAAUAGUACACGUUAAGCUAUGACCAAAUAAAAAAAAAAGAAUUGAUACAAUCACUGCAAAGUGCAAUGACGGACUUUUAUUUAUUAAAGUUGCAAAUGGAGAAGUCUAGAACAAAGAAGAGUGACUGAGUUUCACUCUCCCUUAUGGCAUCUAGAUCCAACUUUAUUCAUAUACUCAAGGAAUCCAUGUUAUCAUAGCGUGAUCAUUUUUAUUGAAGAAAGAUGAUUUCGCUUUUGUUCCCUAAAUAUACCAAAUGAUUACGUUUGCCAGUCACUCGUGUGUAAUUCUGAUUUACAAAUAUCAUCUAAUAUAUGCACAAUUUAUUCUCCUGCAUAGUAAUACCCACCAUGAAAGUGACACAACGUACUAUGUAAUCAAACAUUUUUCCCUAAUAAAAAAUAAAGUAAUCAAAUUCAGAAAAGCUCCAUGGGUUAGAGAACAAUAAAAGAGAGAUGCAUACUAAAUCUAUUCGGAAAUCUUAUUGAACUUUUUUAUUUCAGUGAUGUGGCAAUUUUUUUUAUUGGGUAUUCAAAGAAAUUAGCAAGGCAAUGUGUGAGUCUCACAUAUGAUGAUUAUCCAACUGAAACUUGCCGUGUUACUCGAUAAGUAAAUUUUGAUAAGAUAUCUUGACAGAGCGGGCAUUUAAGAAGAGGAGGAAGGAGCGAAGAAAAGCUAAAGCGAAAGUCGCUUACUAGAGUUAUGUUCACUGCACCUUCCCCGGUAGUUGAAACCGCAGAAGCAAAACCAAGAUAUUCCACUUGACGAACUCCGAUAGGAUAGAUUGAAUCCCUGCGCCAUGUCGUUGUGGAUGUCCUUGUAUGAUGAUCUCCCCCUAUAAUACUGAUCCCUUCCCCAAUCCGAGAAAGAGUUCGAUGCCAAUGUCAUCAUGGUUAUAGUGCAAGAAUCAUCGAUGUCUGACGCACUUCCACCACACGCAAAGAAAACUGAUUCACGAAACCCACGAAAGGCAUAUGAGAACACCUCCGUCUGGGAAAAAUCUGGAGACAUGCCGGUAGAGUAUGCUCCCCCGAUGCACGGUUUGGUAUCAACAUACAAAGAAGAAGCAGCCGGCUGUGAGCACUUCACGAAGACCACUGAGUCCGAGAUAAAAGGAUCGUAGGGAUAAAAUCCACUAAAGUUGGAGUUCAUCAACGAGUGAUGGGGAAGGGAUGAGCAAUUACCCUCUUGCAGGCCAUUGUCAACCAGCUUUAUGACGCCAUUGAAGUUAACUUUGUCACCAUAAAAAUCAUAAUGGAUCGACUUCACGUAAUAUCUACCAGCUCCCCAAUAUAGAACAGUGCGGUUACUUUCACAAAUAAGCUCGUAAUCGGAGUGACCGCAACCUUUUCGAUCGCUUUUUAAUCGAAAGGGAUAACUUAUGUUACGAAUGCCACCGCAAGAUGAAGCAAUGCAUAAGUGACUAUUCUUCGCAUUGGAACUCGUCCCUAACAGCAAAAUUUGCAAUAUAAGCAGAAACACAUGGUACACGCAUAUGGAGCCGAGAGAAUUAAUCAUCUCUCCACUCCUCGAUGCAAGAAUGGUGGUUUUAGCUUGGUGAUUGUGGCGGAGGCUCAACGAGGGGAGGAAUUAUAUAUUAUCGAAAGGAUCAGCUGGGGGAUCAACUAUAAUUGAAAUUCCCAAGUCAACAAGCAACACCAAGUCAAGUCAAGAAAAGAAACUCAUGUGGACCAAUCAAAGGUUCCAUCAGUGAAAAUUACGCAAAGAUUGUUGUACACGCAACCAAACUCACAUGACACGGCGGUGAAUUGAUUUUUGGAUAGCAGUCACACUGAUUAGGAGGCAAAAAUCAACAAGAUGCACCACACGAACUUGUGGAUCCUUCCUGGACACGUCGGUUAUGAAAUCUUGGCCAUUAGACUUUGACUUAUUUAAAGUUGUAAUAAUAAUUUCAUUGUCCUGUCUAAGUAUUCCUUUAUGUACAAAGCCAUAUCCUCCUUCAUCUAGCUUGUCUAAGUAUUUCUUUAUAUACAAAACCAUAUCCUCCAUCUAGAUUGUGCUUGAAAUAUCUUUUUAUUUAUUUAUUAUUAUUUGAAUAUCUGAGUAAAGAGUAUUUUAUAGGAAAAAAGUUAUUAUGAGCUUAUAGAAAUUCUUUGACGUUGUCGUCCAUGCUAGGUGUCUUCUCAUGCACUUAUAGGUUAAAAUUAUAUCAUAUGAAUGUUGCUGCGCUGCUAUGAGUUGCAGAGAUUAUUCCGCAUAGAUUAGCCAUAAAACAUCUGUUUGUGUUGCCCAUAUUAUGAUAAAAGUUCUGCAUAUCAUUUGCUAUCCAUUCAAUCCGAUGUUAGACCUGAUUGCAAUUCCACUAAAGAACUGCAUAUCAUCUGCUAUCCAUUUAUGAAUAUAUUGCACUUUCAUUUACUCGCAAGUAGCAUAUAAAUGUCCUUCAAACAGAAUUCGACCAUUUGCAAUCUUAACUUGGCAUGACAUUACGUGUAACUAGACUUGAAGCCACACCAUGCGUAUAGUGGAGGUCCUACCAACAUUUCUCAAGGAAAUUGGUUAGAUUACAAUUAAAGUGAUUAAUUGAAAGUGAUUUGAAGAUUAUAGCAUCAAGUGAAUAAAAUUAAAGUUUAGUGAGCACGACCGAGAGUCUUGAUUGUUUGUAUUAUCGCAUGUUUCGUCACCCAUCACGUAGAAACUCAUAGAAACAAGGAAGUGAUUCUGUUAAAACGUGACUUUACUGGAUUAGUUAGAAUUUACAUAGAACGAAUCCAAAGAAUACAUUCUCCAAACAAAUUAAUCAUGCAAAAGGAAGGAAAAAAAGUUUAUGAGUGUAGAGAGUCAAAUACAAGACUGUCAACAUAUUCAGUUAAACUCACUUUCACUUAAAAAAACUGACGUUCACUUAAAAUUUAAAUAGAAUCGGCUAAGUGACAAUGAAUAACGAGGGAGAGAUGAGCAAUUAUCCUUUUGCAGCCCGUCGUCGACUAAUUUGAUUUGGUCAGCAGAAUAAUUGAUAGAUUGCACAUAGUAUCGACCAUCACUCAAGUACCAAACAGUUCGAUUAUCUUCACAUGUCAAGCCAUACAAACUUCCAUUUGGGUUACUCGUCAAUCGAAACGGGUGGCUUAUAUUGUGAAUGUCGCCACAGGAAGAAGUGCUCCAUCGAUUACCUGGCUCGACAUUAGUAGUCAUUCCUAGAAAUAGAACAAGAACGAGCAGCAACACUUGAUAGAUAUGCGUGGACCUGAGAGCACUGGUCAUGUUGAUAUUGCUAGUAUGAGUACCUAGAGGGGGGUGAAUAGGUGUCUAAACAAUUUAUCGAUAUACGGAAGCGAUUCUUAGCAUAUGAUAGAAAGUAAAUUCUCUCUUAAUUAACAAAAUGAAAUACGAUCGAGGUAGAGAGAGUAAGGAAGAGAAAAUUGAACACAGGAUUUAUAGUGGUUCGGCUUAUUCCAAGCCUACGUCCACUCUUCCGCACUGACAGCCCACCGGCUGGAUUUCACUAUGAUCAAAAGAGAAGUUACAGCAUAGCUUUGCCUUGAUUCCACAGUGUAGAUGUUCUAUCACACCUCCUCAAGGUCUCUCACAAAUAUAGACUCUCUUUUCUAUACAAGUAUUCGCUCAAAGGAUUUAUCUAAACAAAUAGGAGCUUCAGACUUUAGAAUUCUUCUAUCGCGCACACCUUGAACAACUAAGACAGUCUUCCUUAUAUACUCCUUUAUGCCAUCAUACCCGUUGGCACUUACCAAAGGAAUUCCUCCAAUCUACCCGUUGGACGGAAUCAAUUAGGAAGAUUGUUCAAGCUAUUAAAGCAACGUGUUGAUAGCCCAUCAAUCCUGUUCGCCCAUACAAUCAGGAUCUCGGUUUCCAUAAGCAGAACCUUCCAAUAAUACUUAGGCAAUCACCGGAUCUUCAAUUAUCGAAUCAAUCUUCGAUCAAUCAAAGGACUCUGUUAUGUCUUCUCCAGCCACGAGAUCUUCUCCAGUUGAUAAAGUCAAAUCCUCAACGAAACAUUCGGUUCUGGAUAACCUUUCUUCAACGGAUUAGAGACUAUCAAUGAGGAUAGACUUUGAGUCUUGAGUCUGGCUGUCUGGAGGUCUUCAUACUUUAAAUAGCAGAGUCUGCAAGCCUUCAGACUAGACUGAUAGAAACGUUUUGUCAACUUCAAAAUACUUCAAGAAGAUUUCUUCAACAAUCUCCCCCUUUUUGAUGGUGACAAAACUUUCCUGCAGAUUUGGAUAUCUUUGACCUGCAAAACAUUCCUCAAACACAUAUGCAUAUCUUAUAGAAAUAAAUGGCUAACAGAAUAACACUAGAAUCUGCAACCACAUAAAAUAGGUUAGUCCAGUAUAUGAUUAAGCCAUUCAUAAGAUAUCAAUAUUGAUUAAUAGAAGUAGUCAAGUCCAAGUCUAGGCAGUUCUUAUCCAGACACAAAACAAAGUCAAACAGGUUUAAACCAUAAACCUCAAAACAAUCCAACAAACAAAAAGUUUAAUGAAUGAAAAGUUUUUGAUCAAAUCUUGCAUCUCUCCCCCUUUUUGUCAUCAUUAAAAAGGAUGAGAUGAAGUUAAGAUUGCUUGGGAACGCGGACAAGCUGGAAAUCUUCCAUAGACUGAACGAUGCCUUCCAGCCUCUUAAAGUCUUCCUUUAGUUGUGCAAUCUCCUCACUUUUGGCAUUGGACUGAUUCUGAAUAGAGAGGGCUUGCAUUUUAUCAUUCAAUGAACAGGAAGAAGCUUGACCUUCAUUCUUCAAGCUUUGAACUUCGCAUCCCAAGGCAUAAAUCUGACCUCGCAUCUCCAAGAGAAUAUCCAUGAUUCUGCGAAAAUCUGCUCCAUUAUCAGUCUGAGUACUUGCUUCGGCUCGAUUUGAUGGAGUAAAUGCAGAAGAUGGUAGAUCAGCAUAAUCUUGCAGAUUUGGCGAUGACACUUCAUGACCUUCUUCUGGAAACUAAGAUGCAUAAACAUCCUCUGGGUCUGCUGGUGAGCGACUGACUCCUUCACUUGCAUCAGGACAUGAAGACUUCACUCCUUUCUCCUGAUCUCCCCCUGUUUUCAUGCGUACAGGUGGAGAAGAGUGUUCCUCAUGUUCUCCUUCUUCUCUUUUUUCUUCUUCUGGUCUUUCCUCCUCUGUUUCUUUUUCAGCUUCUAAUUCUUCUGCUUCCUUCUCCUCUGCUUCCUUUGUCAUUUGUUCCGAGUCUUGCUGUGGAACAGGACGACUUAAAUUCUUUAAGGCCAAUGCAGAGAGGGUGAUGUCUUCCUCAUCAUCUUCAUCCUCUACGAGGAGAGCUCUUCUUUUCUUGGAUGGAGCAACCAUGGGCUCCUUCCCUUUUCUUUUAGCUGCAGAAGAUAUUUGAUGAGAUUUUGCAGGAGUCUUCUCCUUGAAUUUCUCCAACUCCUUGCUCAGUUCUUUCAGACGCAUUUUGGUAACCAUUUUCAGACCUACCACCAUAUGAUCGCAUGGUCGAACACAAAGGAUUUGUGGAGGUUGAAUAUUCAGAUGUCUGAAUAACUUCGUAACAAGGCUUGGAUAAGAGAGUUGACCUCUGUCCUUCAUCAUUGCCCUAUACAUGUGAAACAUCACAGUGUGAGGGAGAGAAAACCUUUUACCAAAAAGAAUGGCAUACAUCAGCUUGACCUCUAAACUUGAGACAUCAGUCUUGGAAGUUGAUUUUGGUCGGAGGCAAUUAAUCACAAUCUUGUGAAGCAAGAUGUUGUAUGCACCCAUCCUUAAGUAGGUGAUCUUUUCAUCUGUUCUCCUGUCCUUCACUAGUUCAAGUGUGGCCCGAGCAAUGGAAACUUUGUUUGUUUGAUAUCUUCCUCUUUCGACUUCUAACACAUAUGCCAGCAUGUUCAUAUCCACAACAUAGUCUUGGUCUUUUACGCUGAAAGAGAAUCUAUUCGCAUCCAAAAAGCUUAGAUUUGAAUAGAAAUAUGCAGUUAAUUCAGCAUAUGCCUCUGUAGAGUCAGAGCAGAACUUUUCAAGUUGAAGAUAACUGAACUUUUCCCUUAAGUUUACAUUCACUGCAUCCAGAAAAUCAAAAUCCACACUCCUGGGGUUUAUUACCCCACGCUUCAGCAAUUUUGAGUACAGAUCCUUUUGCUCCUUUGAUCUGAACAAAUCUCCCCUUUUUCCUUGAUUUUCAACCGCAACACCCAUCUUCGGUUGAAAUUGACUGUAUAAUUUAUCAUCAUCAUUCCCAUCCACAGGAUUCGGCCCCCAGUCACGAGGAUCACUUGGGAUAUUUGCAAGGGUUUCCUCAGCCACCCCUUUUCGAGCAAUUCCCAAACUUUCCAUUUUUUUCAGAAAAAUAUACUCGUUCCCAUGUCCUUUUUCUUUAAGGAAAUCAUCAAUGUAUUUCAAAGGAGUACGAAUUCCUUUUAGGGCACGAUAUAACUGGUAAAUAUAAGCGGGCUUUUGAACUCUUACAGGGUCUGCAUCCUCGAUGAUUUCUUCCUGUUGUUGAUGAUCAACUCCUUGAGGACUAGAUGGAGGAGAAUGACGCUAUUGAGAAUGUUGUGGGCUCGCUUGCUGUUCUGGAGUCACUUCAUCUUCAGUAAGAUCGAAGUGCGUAGGCCCAUCACUCAUCCUCUGUGGUCCCCUGCUUGCGAUUCUUGAGGACUUUCUUGAAGAUGACAUCUUUCUCAGUUUUUGGAAGAUUCCUUGCUUGACUUUCCCGGAAAAGAUGACAACUUUUUUUAGGAUUGAACGAAGAAGACAAACGGGAAUGGAGGAUUGAUGCUUUCUAGGGUUUUUGAGAGAAAAGUGAAGAGGAAUCGACAGUGCUUGUUCGGUUAAAAAGAAGGGCAAACGAACCGUCACAAAGGAAAUAAAAAUAUACCUUUUCAAAAUAACUGUCUUUAUCCGCAAAAAUAGCUAUUUCAAAAAUAACUUCCCUUUUGUAAAUGAAGCGAUGCAAUAUUUAUGUCAAUUAAAUAUAGCAACAAUUUAAACACAGUCUGAUGAUCGUACCUUUUCAAGAUGAGACUCAAGGAAGAAAAACUUACAGUCUGACGGACGUACCAAGACUAUCUUUCAGAUAAAGUCUUGUAAGUCUGAGUCUGAAGGUCUUUAGACUUUGAUAUCCUCAUACCUCAAAAUGUUGAGUCUGGACCGUAUAGACUCAAAUUGAUUUUUCUCCAAAGGCUUUGUGAAUAUAUCAGCCAGUUGAUUCUUUGAGUCAACAAAUUGAAUUGAAACAUCUCCAUUUUGAACAUGAUCUCUAAUAAAGUGAUGUCGAAUCUCUAUAUGCUUUGCUCUUGAGUGGAGAAUUGGAUUUUUGGUGAGGUUGAUAGCGCUGGUGUUGUCGCAAUUAAUCUCCGUGCAUGAGUCUUCAAUUUCAAAGUCUUUUAGCUGUUGUUUUAUCCAUAGAAUUUGCGAACAGCAGCUUCCCAGGGCUACAUACUCUGCUUCUGUUGUUGAAAGAGACACAGUGCUUUGUUUCCUUGAAAACCAAGACACUGUCCUGCUUCCAAGCAACUGGCAAGUUCUCGAAGUGCUUUUUCUAUCAACUCUGCAACCGGCCAGAUCUGCGUCUGAAUAUCCCAGAAGAUUAAAGUCUCCCUUCUUAGGAUACCAAAGACCGAUGCUUGAUGAUGAAGCCACGUAUUUAAUGAUGCGUUUCGCAGCACUGAGAUGGGAUUCUCUAGGAUCUGAUUGAAACCUUGCACAGAUGCAAACACUCAACAAAAUGUCAGGUCUAGAAGCAGUAAGAUAAAGAAGUGAACCAAUAAUGCUCCUGUACAGCUUUUGAUCAACUUUCUUUCCUUCUUCAUCUUUGUCUAUCUUCAAAGAACUUGACAUCGGUAUGUCGGUCUUUUUGCACUUCUCCAGUCCAAAUCUUUUGACAAGAUCAUUAACAUAUUUUUCUUGAUAAAUAAAAGUUCCUUCCUUCAAUUGUUUUAUUUGAAGACCAAGAAAGAAUGUUAACUCUCCCAUCAUACUCAUUUCAAAUUCAUCCUGCAUAGACUUAGAAAAUUUCUUGCACAUAUUUUCAUUUGAAAAUCCGAAAAUAAUGUCAUCCACAUAUAUUUGAACAAGUAAGAAACUUUUGAUUUCCUUUUUGAUAAAUAAAGUCGUAUCUACUUUACCUUUAACAAAACCAUUUUGAAUCAAAAACUUACUUAAUCUGUCGUACCAAGCUCGAGGUGCUUGCUUUAAACCAUACAAAACCUUUUUCAGUCUGAAGACUGAGUCUGGCUUCUUUGGGUCUUCAAACCCUGGUGGUUGUUCCACAUAAACUUCCUCAUGGAUAAAUCCAUUUAGGAAGUCGCUUUUGACGUCCAUUUGGAAUAACCUGAAAUUCUUAUAACAAGCAAACGCAAGUAAUAGUCGAAUAGCUUCUAACCUUGCUACUGGAGCGUAAGUCUCAUCAUAGUCUAUUCCUUCUUCUUGCGUAUAUCCUUUGGCCACGAGUCUUGCUUUGUUUCGUACGACUUUUCCUUUCUCAUUCAUCUUGUUUCUGAACACCCAUUUAGCUCUAAUAACAGUUUUACCUUUUGGUUUGGAUGUCAAUUCCCAGACAUCAUUAAUGCUGAACUGUCUGAGCUCUUCUUGCAUAGCUUCAAUCCAGCUUUCAUCAGACAAAGCUUCUUCUAUGCUUUUUGGUUCAAUUUCAGAAACAAGAGCUACAUCACUAGACUCUUCUCGCCUUUUGGAUCUGGUGCGAAUUCCUUCAUUAAUUUCGCCGAUUAUAAGAUCUUUGGGAUGACUGAACUUAUGCUUCCAGUUACUUGUUGAUUUGUCUGUUUGAUGAUCUCUCUCUUUGAUUGAAUCUUCACGAACAUCCUUAUUCUGGUUUUCCAGAGUCUGAGAUGCUUCUUGAGUUGUAAGCUUUGGAAGGUCUGGAGCAGGUUCAGACUCUUCUUGAUGAGUCUGACUUGAUUCAUCUUGUGUUGAGUCUUGAAAUUUGACAUUCAUUGACUCCUCCACAGACUGGCUCUUCUUGUUAUAGACUCUGAAGGCUUUGCUUGAUGUAGAAUAUCCAAGGAAGAUACCUUCAUAUGAUCUUUCUUCAAACUUACCAACUCGAUCUUUUGCAUUUUUCAAUAUAAAACAUUUGCAACCAAAUACAUGAAAGUAUGAAACAAUAGGCUUCUUAUCUUUGAACAAUUCAUAAGGGGUUUUCUCUAGAAUAGGUCUUAAGAAGACUCUAUUGACGAUAUAACAAGCUGUUGAAACAGCUUCAGCCCAAAAUCGUGAAGAAAUCUUGCUUUCUAUAAAAAGAGUUCUAGCCAUUUCUUGAAGAGAUCUGUUCUUUCUUUCCACAACUCCAUUUUGCUGAGGAGUAUAUGGAGAGGAGAACUCAUGAUUAAAGCCAGAUUCAUCACAAAAUUUUGUAAAAUCUUGAUUUUCAAAUUCACCUCCAUGAUCUGUUCUUAUACAAGAGAUAACACAUCCUUUUUCAUUUUGAACCUUUUUAGCAAACUUUUCAAAAUACGAGAAGGUUUCAUACUUACUUGUAAGGAAAUAUACCCAAGUAAAACGGGAGUAAUCAUCCACAAUUACUAGGCAAUAUUUCUUACCUCCAAUACUCUGUGUUCUGGUUGGUCCGAAGAGAUCCGUAUGUAGCAACUGUAGUACAUGAUUAGUACUGACAUGAUUUAUUGGCUUAAAUGAAUUUCUUACCUGUUUUCCCAGAAUACAUCGAGUACAUGGAUCAGUCUUUUGAUAAGGUAAUCUGGGUAGUUCUCGAACAAGCUGUUUUGUUGAGAUUUUGGCUAACUGCUUUGAGUUGACAUGACCAAGCUUUCUGUGCCAUAAGCUUGCUUCGUCUUGAAUUGAGAUAAAACAUUGCGAUUCAUUUGGUUUCACAUCCAGAAGAUAGAUGUUUCCAUGUCUACGACCCAUGAAAGACUGAGUAGAGUCUUUACUGAUUCCAGAACAUAUUCCUUCUUGAAAGAAGAUCUUGAAACCAAUAUCACACAGUUGACUAAUGCUGAGAAGAUUGUAAUUGAGUCAUUCCACUAAGGAAACAUUACUUAUUGUGAGAUUUCCAAUUUUCACAGUUCCAAAUCCCACAAUACUUCCUUUACUGUUUCCUCCAAAUGAAACUUUUCCACAAUUUACUUGAGCAAGCUUUAUGAAACAUUUUGAGUCUCCUGUCAUGUGUCUUGAGCAUCCAUUGUCAAGAUACCACUUUACCUUUCUCUUGACAGUGACCUCAAAAUCACUGUUUGAGUCUGAUUCAGAGUCUGAGUCUGAUUGUGCCAUCAGACAUAAAUUGGCAUAUUCAUUAUCACUUUAUUCACACUCUGUGUCACUCCAGGUUUCGGCUUUGAGAGCUUUUCGAAAUUUUUCAGCUUUUCUUUUCUUCUUCUUCAGAAGAGAACAGUUGGGUCUGAUGUGUCCCUUUUUCUUACAUUCAAAGCAGACUAUGUCUUUGUUUGGUUCCUCAUCAUCAACAGACUUGGUCUGUUGUCUUUGAAAGCUUUGUUUCUUUGAGUUGAACCUUCUUCCUUUUCUAUUUAGUUUUAUGAAUCUUCUUAUCAUGAGAGCAAGCUCCUCAUCGUCCAUAUCUUCUUCAGAAUCUGUAUUAUCAGAAUCAUCAUUUGAUUUUAAUGCAAUGGAUUUCUUACCUUUUGGAUCUUCAUCUUCAUUGAUCUGUUCCACUUCAUAAGACUGAAGAGUUCCAAUUAGCUCGUCGACAGAUAGUGGCAUAAUUCUCUGCGUCUCUCUUAUCGAAGUCUUUAUGUGAUUCCAAUCCCUGGAGAGUCCACGUAGUAGCUUGUUUACCUUCAUGGGAUCAGAAGUUGGUUGACCUUGAUUUUCAAGACCAUUUACAAUAUCUGUAAAACGACUAAACAUGUCAGAUAUAGAUUCUCCUGGUUUCAUUCUGAAGGCUUCGUAUUGACCAAGAAGAAUGUUGAUUCUUGCAACCUUCACUCGAUCUGUUCCUUCAUAGGUGAUAUGCAAUCUGUCCCAAACUUCUUUUGCUGUACCACAAGAAGAUAUUCUAUUAUAUUCAGUUGGUGAUAAAGCACAAUAUAAGGAGUAAAUUGCUUUUGCAUUGAGUGUUUGUCUCUUGAUUAUUUCUUCCUGAGACAUUCUGCUGGUUUCUUCAGUUUCUUUUCCUCUUUCAGAGACUGAUGCAGUGGUAGGAGUAAUUCCUUUUUCUACAAUGUCCCAUUCCAGAGGAUCCUUUGAUCGUAGGAAAGCUUUCAUCUUGUUCUUCCAGAUGUUGUAAUCCUUUCCAUUAAAGUAGGGUGGUCUUGUAUUGCUUUGCCCUUCCAUCAGCCCUGGUGCUAGCAUACUAGCCAUGGAUCUUUUACUAUGAAGUAAAACACUUCAAAUAAAGUAAGGACACAGGCUCUGAUACCAAUUGAUAUUGCUAGUAUGAGUACCUAGAGGGGGGUGAAUAGGUGUCUAAACAAUUUAUUGAUAUACGGAAGCGAUUCUUAGCAUAUGAUAGAAAGUAAAUUCUCUCUUAAUUAACAAAAUGAAAUACGAUCGAGGUAGAGAGAGUAAGGAAGAGAAAAUUGAACACAUGAUUUAUAGUGGUUCGGCUUAUUCCAAGCCUACGUCCACUCUUCCGCACUGACAGCCCACCGGCUGGAUUUCAUUAUGAUCAAAAGAGAAGUUACAGCAUAGCUUUGCCUUGAUUCCACAGUGUAGAUGUUCUACCACACCUCCUCAAGGUCUCUCACAAAUAUAGACUCUCUUUUCUAUACAAGUAUUCGCUCAAAGGAUUUAUCUAAACAAAUAGGAGCUUCAGACUUUGGAAUUCUUCUAUCGCGCACACCUUGAACAACUAAGACAGUCUUCCUUAUAUACUCCUUUAUGCCAUCAUACCCGUUGGCACUUACCAAAGGAAUUCCUCCAAUCUACCCGUUGGACGGAAUCAAUUAGGAAGAUUGUUCAAGCUAUUAAAGGAACGUGUUGAUAGCCCAUCAAUCAUGUUCGCCCAUACAAUCAGGAUCUCGGUUUCCAUAAGCAGAACCUUCCAAUAAUACUUAGGCAAUCACCGGAUCUUCAAUUAUCGAAUCAAUCUUCGAUCAAUCAAAGUACUCCGUUAUGUCUUCUCCAGCCACGAGAUCUUCUCCAGUUGAUAAAGUCAAAUCCUCAACGAAACAUUCGGUUCUGGAUAACCUUUCUUCAACGGAUUAGAGACUAUCAAUGAGGAUAGACUUUGAGUCUUGAGUCUGGCUGUCCGGAGGUCUUCAGACUUUAAAUAGCAGAGUCUGCAAGCCUUCAGACUAGACUGAUAGAAACGUUUUGUCAACUUUAAAGUACUUCAAGAAGAUUUCUCCAACACAUGUCUCUUUUGGUCUUUGGGUGAAGAUGUUUGUUGUGUGUGGAGGAGAGGUGGAAUUUAAAAAGAUUGAGAAGUGAUGGGACGAUCCUUGUUCGAUUGGAGACUUAGCGGCCUUGUCCUGUGGAAAAGCCCAAGUCAAUCAACUUAACAAAUGGAUGCUAGUCAAGAAAUUAAAGGGGUGGACCCAACCUGAGGUUCCAUUGUUAGAGGCUAUGUUGUCUGUGCUUCCAUGUCGUGUCUGACACGUGUCAGAGCAUGUCGGACACAUCGACAUGCUCGGACACGUAGUCAAUGCGUGUUGGUUUUUUCGAUACGUGGUCAAUCUUUGCCUGACACGUUUCGACACGUGUGUCUGGGAGGGUGGAAGAGAUGGCAAGGGAGCAGACCGUGAGCGACGGCGAGAGACAGCCGAGAAUAGACUGAGGCGAGGGUCGCCAUUGUGAUGCUGCGAUGGAUCCGACGAGGCUGCAGCUGCGAGGGAGAAAGGAUCGAAGGCGAGAGGAAGAGGAGAGGAAGGGGGUCGUGCGGCGAGUGGCGAGGAAGGGGGUCGUGCGACGAGGAGCGGCGAGCGGCGGAAAGGGGUCAUGUAGCGAGCGGCGAGGAAGGAGAAGGAUCGAGAGGAGGAGAAGAGGAAGGGUCGUGCGCGAGCGGCAAGGAGGAGGAGUAAAGGAGCUAGGGUUUCUGAAGAAACUCAGAAAUAAUUAAAAAUUGAGAGUCUGAUGGGCCAUCACGUAUUUUGGGGGAGGGAAAGUGACAAGGACAGGUGGGGGGAGGAAAUGAACGAUGGCGGGGAGGGAAAGGAAAAAAAAAUGAAUUUGGGGGCGGGGGGAAUGGACCGUGGUGGGGAGGGAAAGAAAAAUAAAUUUGAGGAUGGGAGGAAAUGGAUGAGGGAAAGAAGAGAGUGGGGUGGAUCCUAACGAGGAAAUUUUUUUUUAAUUAGAAAAAAUAAAUGAAAUUAAAAAAUAAUUUCAAAAAAUAAAUAUAUUGAAUUUGAAUUAAAUUAAUUAAAAAUGAAAAUAUUCAUUUAAUAUACAACGUGUCCCAACGUGUCGAAAAUUUCUAUUUUUAAGAAAUAACGUGUCAUGUCGUAUCGUGUCGGGUGUCGUGUCGCCAUGUCUGUGCUAUAUAGGUUAGAGGAACGGUUGGUGGCCAUCGCUAUUUAAGACCCCUCUUAAUCACGGACACAUACAAUACAAUGCAUCUAGAAAAUUUACACCCACAAAGAAUUCGCAGGAUCCUUCACAUUUUUUUUUUUUAUCUUUCUUUCUCCACUUUUAAUCGCCACCGUUCUUCCAAUGUCUCCUCGUGAUGGUUGGGUGCACACCACAUCCCAUCACCAAACUAAUAUAUAUAUCUUUCUCUCUCUCUUUCUCCCCCUCCCAAUCACUUGGCUUCUGAUGCACAAACAAAUUCAUAUCUCCUUAAUUUCUACUUCGUUUUUUUCCUCGUCCCUUCUUCCAUCUUCUUUCUUCACCCCCCGGGUCACGAUCAAAGGAAAAAUUGAUGUAUACUUUUAGAGGCAAAAGAUCAAAAAUAAAAAAAACUAGCUUGCCUCAAAACUACUACUUCUCCUUCUUAUUUGAACCUUUUCUGUUUGGUCGGCACUUCAUCACUUUAUAUGUACCCCAUACUUGCUAAAUAAAGUCAUCAACUUCAAACAUAAUUCAAUUAUUUACAUGGUCCAAUCAUUUCAUGAAAUAUAUAUGAAUAUAUAUACAAGAGAUGUAUCCCAUGUGAUAUAAUGCACGAGAAUUUGAAGCAACAGUGGAUCCUCCUAGUGACUUUCUAAAUCACACUGUCUUUAUAUUUUCUUUAUUAAAAGUUUUGUCACUAAUGAUGACGGGACGGAUACGAGGAAUAACUUUCUCAACUAGAAUUAGUAGGGACAAAUACCUUAGAUAUUAUUGAAGACAAAAGUAACCCCGAUAGCUUUUCAUGUGGAUUGAAGAUUAGCGUGCAAUAUUGGUGUGAUCUCUUCACACCAGGACAUCUCUCUUUUGAUUUGCCCUUCUAAUUAACUCUAACUAAUUCGUUAAAAAAUAAAUAUAGAUAUGCAAGAAAACUUUGAUUUGGCUAUGAAAAUAGACUAGCGGUGUGAGGUUGAUUAAGUUGCUAACUAAGGAGAAUCGUCGUCGUGUUUUGCGCAAAAGGGAGAGUUCAAAAGUGAGAAAACAUGAAGAAUCUAUAGACUUGCUUUUUGGAAGCAAUAAGGAGACAUGCUUUCGGGUGGCCUCUUUACUUUAUUGAAUUUUGCGCAAAAGAGAGUUUAAAGGUAAGAAAACUUGAAGAAGACGGAAGCCCGUGAGAAACUUCUCGCGUGUAGAUUGAAUAAGUUGCAAGACAUUUGUCGUGUCUUACACGGCCAUUGACUUUGAACUAAGAAAAAGGUGUAACAUUGAAACUUCUCGCGUUCAGAUUGAAUAAGUUGCAAGACAUUUGUUGUGUCUUACACGGCCAUUGACUUUGAACUAAGAAAAGGGCGUGACAUUGAAACUUCUCGCGUUCAGAUUGAAUAAGUUGCAAGACAUUUGUCGUGCCUUACACAGCCGUUGAUUUUAAACUAAGAAAAGGAUAUAACAAUGAUAGAAUCGCACCAGCGCGUAAUUUCCGUGACACUUGUUAAAAAUGCUGAAAAUAGCAACUGUCAUUUUGUAAAAGAUACAUGUAAAUCGAACAGAAAAAAAGGAUUUAUAUAUAUUCCUACCAGCACAAAAAUAUUGCCUUAAUCAAAUGGCUAUUUUGUCAUUCCCAAAAGAUAUUUAAAAAUCUAAUGACUAUGUUCCGAGAAUCUUUUUAAUAUCUACCACUUGAAACUGUAAUGAUAAACUAACUAUUCGCCUAAAAGAUAGUUAAAGCGAGGUCAUACUACCCUUUGUGAGUCUUGAGCAUCUCUUUGAUGCUUUGAGGCAUGGUGCUCCAGAGUGGCAAAUCCGUUGCAAAUGUGAUUGUGCUUCUUAUUGGCUUUACAGUGAUUUACCAACAAUAGACAGAUGUUCAUCACGACUUGAUGGGUCUUUAUCACUGGGAGCAUAGUGCCCGUGACACAGUGGGCAACCCGCUGAAUCUCGUCCGUUCCAUCUGAAUACCCGGUAAAUAAUCAAUGCGGUUCGGUGGGCAACUCAAGUCAGCCGGAGUCAACCAUUUCAAUGGUUACAAUCAAGCGAGAUCUGCUUCACUAAGCCAUGUUGAACCCAACGAAUAUUCAGGUUCAGGAUCUUGAAAAGAAUGUCAGUCGAUUCAUAAUUGCACUCUUUAGGCUCUUAAAUCUUUAGCCUAUCGAUAGUGAUCGUGAUUUAAAUCUAUUCGAGCGUCAAAAACAUAUGAGAAAUCAUUGCAGAUAAGAAGGAGAAUUCUUUCCAUUCUCGGACAUUUAUUUCUACCCAAAAAACACAAAUCAGUGGAUUUAUAUAACAAGCAACGAAAUUGUUGCUCCAAUCAGGUUUUUCAACUUCAAGAACUUGCUUGCACUAGCAAAGGACAUGCAAUUCCGUGAAGCCCAUGACGACGCGAAUGAUUUUAGAAGUCCUCUGAUUCAACAAGACCACAACAAAUAGAGGAGACGACAUCACCUGUAGAUAAAUUGUUUUGUAGCCCCUGCAUCUUUCUCGUGUUCAGGGAUCUCACGUCCAUGACCACCACUGUAGACUUUGAGGAUGUUAUGCUAGUUCUCUUCGUAAUUGGACCGCGUGGCUACGCCAAUCGACGUGAAGAGGAUAUUGAGAAAUGACGAGGACGGAACUCAUCUCGUACGCAGUUCCGUCCACCUCGUCCCAGAUCCAUAAUUGCGCGGAACCAUCGGACGAAAACGAAACGAAACGAAUCAAGGUAAAAUGUAUGGGGAGAUGCGGAUCCCGUAAACUGAUACGUUUUCCUUGAAAUCCUUCCCAUCUAAUAAGGCCAUGUUACUAACUAAUAAGCAAUAAUCCGCGCGAGCUCGCCGUGAGAUUUGGGUUAAACAUCAAAUGUCACAUACAAGCCACUCAUAAGGUUAGUUCGUAACCAUUGUUUAUCGUUUCGCCGAGCAUAUCGUUUUAUCAUCUUUAGAUAAAUUCUUGGGUGGUUUUUGCAAAGCCAUGUUGUCCACAUGGCUCACUGACAAACUGAAAUUUUUUAUAGAUAUUAUUGAACAGGCAGGCUAAGAGAUGACGGUAAAAAUUACUAUCACCUUGUAAUUCACGAGGUAUUUUUCUACUAACAGUCAUGUUGGAUUUGUAAGGGAAAAAAAAAAGACCACACCGCAUUUCUGUCUCUUAAAACUUACAAGCUGAGCGGAAAGAUUCGAGUGUGUCAAAGUUGCAAGUUUUUAAGACUUAAAUGCACAAAAAUGAAAGAUUUAAAACUCAAGUUCAUUACACUGAUACAAAAUUUUUCAAAAAGAAAAACUUCACAUUGCAUAAAAUUGUUUGAAGGGCAAGGGUAAUGAUUCAUCAGAUAAAUGUUAUUCUCUUGUUUUCUACUUACAUUAUUCAGUAAACGACUUUUUUAAAAGAAUAUUACGUGUCCGGACUUCUUAAUGUAUCUGAUUAAUCUGAUUGGCCCAUCACACUUCCCAUAUUUCACGAAAAUUCGAGUUAUUACAACUAUCUUGCAGGUCAACCUAUCUCAGAAUCCCACAUUUCAUGGUAAAUGUAACGUGCAUCUUGCUUCAACGUUUUCUUACCACAAAUCUACAAUUGAAAAAAGAAAAAGAAAAGAAGGAUCUGAUCUUUAAUUGGUCAACAUGGGUCGGGAUUAAAUUGAUAAAAAAUUGUACUAUCGAUUUUUAGACAGAAUGAUCAAAUCGAAUCAACUGGUGAAUGAGUUCAACGUAGAGCUCACUUUACCUUGCGUAGAGACAGUCCAUGUAUGUCCAAGAUCUCUCAAUAUUUUAAGUAGAAUUAAGCAAAGAACGAAGAGAGACGGACAUCAUACCGACAUCAUUUUGCACAGAAGAAUGUUUGCAAUUGCCACUUGCUAAUGCAAGGGAAGACCCUCCUUUCUGGUCCAAUUAGGUGUGCUUAGGUGAAUAUNNNNNNNNNNNNNNNNNNNNNNNNNNNNNNNNNNNNNNNNNNNNNNNNNNNNNNNNNNNNNNNNNNNNNNNNNNNNNNNNNNNNNNNNNNNNNNNNNNNNNNNNNNNNNNNNNNNNNNNNNNNNNNNNNNNNNNNNNNNNNNNNNNNNNNNNNNNNNNNNNNNNNNNNNNNNNNNNNNNNNNNNNNNNNNNNNNNNNNNNNNNNNNNNNNNNNNNNNNNNNNNNNNNNNNNNNNNNNNNNNNNNNNNNNNNNNNNNNNNNNNNNNNNNNNNNNNNNNNNNNNNNNNNNNNNNNNNNNNNNNNNNNNNNNNNNNNNNNNNNNNNNNNNNNNNNNNNNNNNNNNNNNNNNNNNNNNNNNNNNNNNNNNNNNNNNNNNNNNNNNNNNNNNNNNNNNNNNNNNNNNNNNNNNNNNNNNNNNNNNNNNNNNNNNNNNNNNNNNNNNNNNNNNNNNNNNNNNNNNNNNNNNNNNNNNNNNNNNNNNNNNNNNNNNNNNNNNNNNNNNNNNNNNNNNNNNNNNNNNNNNNNNNNNNNNNNNNNNNNNNNNNNNNNNNNNNNNNNNNNNNNNNNNNNNNNNNNNNNNNNNNNNNNNNNNNNNNNNNNNNNNNNNNNNNNNNNNNNNNNNNNNNNNNNNNNNNNNNNNNNNNNNNNNNNNNNNNNNNNNNNNNNNNNNNNNNNNNNNNNNNNNNNNNNNNNNNNNNNNNNNNNNNNNNNNNNNNNNNNNNNNNNNNNNNNNNNNNNNNNNNNNNNNNNNNNNNNNNNNNNNNNNNNNNNNNNNNNNNNNNNNNNNNNNNNNNNNNNNNNNNNNNNNNNNNNNNNNNNNNNNNNNNNNNNNNNNNNNNNNNNNNNNNNNNNNNNNNNNNNNNNNNNNNNNNNNNNNNNNNNNNNNNNNNNNNNNNNNNNNNNNNNNNNNNNNNNNNNNNNNNNNNNNNNNNNNNNNNNNNNNNNNNNNNNNNNNNNNNNNNNNNNNNNNNNNNNNNNNNNNNNNNNNNNNNNNNNNNNNNNNNNNNNNNNNNNNNNNNNNNNNNNNNNNNNNNNNNNNNNNNNNNNNNNNNNNNNNNNNNNNNNNNNNNNNNNNNNNNNNNNNNNNNNNNNNNNNNNNNNNNNNNNNNNNNNNNNNNNNNNNNNNNNNNNNNNNNNNNNNNNNNNNNNNNNNNNNNNNNNNNNNNNNNNNNNNNNNNNNNNNNNNNNNNNNNNNNNNNNNNNNNNNNNNNNNNNNNNNNNNNNNNNNNNNNNNNNNNNNNNNNNNNNNNNNNNNNNNNNNNNNNNNNNNNNNNNNNNNNNNNNNNNNNNNNNNNNNNNNNNNNNNNNNNNNNNNNNNNNNNNNNNNNNNNNNNNNNNNNNNNNNNNNNNNNNNNNNNNNNNNNNNNNNNNNNNNNNNNNNNNNNNNNNNNNNNNNNNNNNNNNNNNNNNNNNNNNNNNNNNNNNNNNNNNNNNNNNNNNNNNNNNNNNNNNNNNNNNNNNNNNNNNNNNNNNNNNNNNNNNNNNNNNNNNNNNNNNNNNNNNNNNNNNNNNNNNNNNNNNNNNNNNNNNNNNNNNNNNNNNNNNNNNNNNNNNNNNNNNNNNNNNNNNNNNNNNNNNNNNNNNNNNNNNNNNNNNNNNNNNNNNNNNNNNNNNNNNNNNNNNNNNNNNNNNNNNNNNNNNNNNNNNNNNNNNNNNNNNNNNNNNNNNNNNNNNNNNNNNNNNNNNNNNNNNNNNNNNNNNNNNNNNNNNNNNNNNNNNNNNNNNNNNNNNNNNNNNNNNNNNNNNNNNNNNNNNNNNNNNNNNNNNNNNNNNNNNNNNNNNNNNNNNNNNNNNNNNNNNNNNNNNNNNNNNNNNNNNNNNNNNNNNNNNNNNNNNNNNNNNNNNNNNNNNNNNNNNNNNNNNNNNNNNNNNNNNNNNNNNNNNNNNNNNNNNNNNNNNNNNNNNNNNNNNNNNNNNNNNNNNNNNNNNNNNNNNNNNNNNNNNNNNNNNNNNNNNNNNNNNNNNNNNNNNNNNNNNNNNNNNNNNNNNNNNNNNNNNNNNNNNNNNNNNNNNNNNNNNNNNNNNNNNNNNNNNNNNNNNNNNNNNNNNNNNNNNNNNNNNNNNNNNNNNNNNNNNNNNNNNNNNNNNNNNNNNNNNNNNNNNNNNNNNNNNNNNNNNNNNNNNNNNNNNNNNNNNNNNNNNNNNNNNNNNNNNNNNNNNNNNNNNNNNNNNNNNNNNNNNNNNNNNNNNNNNNNNNNNNNNNNNNNNNNNNNNNNNNNNNNNNNNNNNNNNNNNNNNNNNNNNNNNNNNNNNNNNNNNNNNNNNNNNNNNNNNNNNNNNNNNNNNNNNNNNNNNNNNNNNNNNNNNNNNNNNNNNNNNNNNNNNNNNNNNNNNNNNNNNNNNNNNNNNNNNNNNNNNNNNNNNNNNNNNNNNNNNNNNNNNNNNNNNNNNNNNNNNNNNNNNNNNNNNNNNNNNNNNNNNNNNNNNNNNNNNNNNNNNNNNNNNNNNNNNNNNNNNNNNNNNNNNNNNNNNNNNNNNNNNNNNNNNNNNNNNNNNNNNNNNNNNNNNNNNNNNNNNNNNNNNNNNNNNNNNNNNNNNNNNNNNNNNNNNNNNNNNNNNNNNNNNNNNNNNNNNNNNNNNNNNNNNNNNNNNNNNNNNNNNNNNNNNNNNNNNNNNNNNNNNNNNNNNNNNNNNNNNNNNNNNNNNNNNNNNNNNNNNNNNNNNNNNNNNNNNNNNNNNNNNNNNNNNNNNNNNNNNNNNNNNNNNNNNNNNNNNNNNNNNNNNNNNNNNNNNNNNNNNNNNNNNNNNNNNNNNNNNNNNNNNNNNNNNNNNNNNNNNNNNNNNNNNNNNNNNNNNNNNNNNNNNNNNNNNNNNNNNNNNNNNNNNACCAGGAUCAGCACUAAUAUGUGCUGUUGCUCCGGUAUGCAGGAUACCACUCACUUCCUCUUGGAUCCUCUAGAUGAACUGCUGCCAAAGCAGUUGGAAUUUCUUCAGCCUGAUAAGAGUUAUCGAAACGAUACCAGCACCGAAGAGCAUCGUGUCCUGGUCUUUUACAAAUCUGACAUUCUAACCGGAUGCUUUCUGUUGGUUUCUCAUUUUGCACAUGUUUCUGUGGCAUCAAGACUUGAGUCGGAUAGGAUUUAGUGUCUUGAUACCUUUGUGAAUAACUGGCAUAUGGACGAAACCCCUGUCCAGGACUAGAAUAAUCAAUCCUCUGCUUGAAUUGUUGAUCAGUUCGUUCCUGAUUCAAAUUGUUUGGUCUGUAGUACUGAUUUCUUCCUGAGUAUCCAUAACUCCGGCCUGCAUUAUUCAUUGCACGGCUUCGACCAAAAAAGCGUCCUCCUCUGUUGCCACCUCUUUGACUUCCAAAACUUGAAGUCUGAAAACUGUAUUCUCUUUCAGAAUUUCCUUUCAGUUGUGUUUCAGAACUUCUUUGUCCCAAGUAAGCCAGAUUAGGGUUAAAUUGAUUCAUCGAAUAUGUCUUUAAUCUUGUUUCAAAUCGUUCAAGCUGUGCUAUCACUUCAUCAUAAUCUGGCUGGGGUUUCAAACAGUAGAUAGUAGUUCUGAAAUUCUCAUACUCAGGCCCUAAACCCUCAAGAACACCAAACAUUUUAGUUAUCUCAUCUAUAGGUUUUCCAAUCGCAUUCAGCUGAUCACAAAUGGACUUAUACUCCCUCAGAUAAACAGAAAGCGCUCUAUCUCGUUUCUGACAUGCCUGUAACUUUCCUCUUAGUUCAAACUCUCGAGCUACUGAUUUCUGAGUAAAACGAUUAAGAAGGGUCUGCCAUACCUCAUAAGAAGUUUCUAAACCAAUAAUCAAGCUCAGAAUAUUCUCAGAUACAGCUCCACUGAUCCAGGAUGAAACUAACUGAUCAGUCCUUGUCCAAUCUGUAUAAUCUGGAUUUAUGACUUCUGUUUCACAAUCUUCAGUUUCAGUGUUUAGGAUUCGAGGAGGUGAAGAUAUUUCACCAUUGAUGAAACCGAAGAGUUCUUGACUUCGAAGGAACCUGUGAAACUGUGCUUGCCACAAUAGGAAAUUAUCUUCAGCAAGUUUAAUCGUGACAAAAUUGGAGAUGUUAACAUGUAUUGGAAAUGGAUACUUCUGUGUCCUUCCUGCCAUUGCUGCACUUUCAGAGAUUUUUGAUGACAGAAAUCGAUUUUUGUGACUCAAAACAGGAUUACCUGUUGAUCGAGAUGAUGAUCUGUUCGUGAUACCAGCAAGGUUCAGAUCUUACCAGGGAACAGAAGAAUCAAACGCAAGAUUCUUGUGAGAACUUUCAGUAAGUCAGUACAUGAAGAUGAUCAACAGCUACUUUGAUCUGCUGCAAUCAUUGAAAUCCAAAUACCUUUGAUUUGAUUUCACGAACAAUUGUGUGUUUCGUGAAACAUCUUUUCAAUCCAGAUGAUCGAUAACUGCUCUGAUACCAUGUGAAGAAGAGCAAGAUUACAGAUGAAUGCUAUUGAAGAAGAUGAUUCCUUAUUCUCUUCUGUAUUAUGGUGUUUUCACCUCAAAAAUACAGAGCACCUUUUCAAUGGAGUAUUCUCCUCUCUAUUCUUUCAUGGACGGUUACAAUGAAUUCUCUAUAUUAAGAAGAAGUCGCUCUUUAUCUAUAUACAACAGAAGCUUAAUGAAAAAACCGAAUGCUAGCUGUCAACGUAAAGACUUUAAACAGAAAAGAACUUAUUUCACAAAGGCUAAGCUAACAGAAUUAACUGCCUCUCUUUUCCUUCUGGAAAUUGUUCACGUGAUGUCUUUUCUUCACCGACUUAUCUUCACCGUCUUAUGUAGAUACACAGCUGGCCUUAUUUGACAGCAUUACUGGUUACACAAUUGCGAAUUCUACUUCUUCCAAGCUUCUUCAAUGACAGCCAUAGACUUGUCUUCAGUACAGUCUAACUUCUCUGUUUGAAGCUUCCUCUCUGUUUCGAGCUUCAAAGAAUGAAUGUUCUUAACAUUGACAACUCGAUGGAUGUGUACGAAAGCAGUAAACUAAGCCGUAUAUUUGUAGAGUAUAUGUACAAAAAAAAUAUUAAACCUAUUAUAUUUGUGCCAAUUAAGUCUUAAACCAUUUUUUUAGAGUCAAUUCAAUCCUAAAUAUUUGUCUUUUGUGCCAAUUUAGUUUAUUCGGCUAAUUUUAACUGGCCGACACUGAUGUGGACAAUUUUUCCUUUUCCUUUUCUCUUUUUUUUUUCUCCUUCUUCCUUCUUCUUCUAGCUGAUCACUGCCUUUGGCCGGAGAUCAAUUGGAGGAAGGAGAAUGAAAAAGAAAAAGAAAAACCUUAAUAAAAAAUUCGAUAUAUAUGAUUAAAAAAUUAUUCAUGCCAGCAUUGACUGGCCAAAUUGGCCGGAUGAACUAAAUUGGCAUAGAUGUGAAAAGUUUAAGACUUAAUUGACAAAAAAAAAGUUAAGGAUUGAAUUAACACAAUUGCAAUAGAUUUAUGAUUUUUUUGGUAAUUUUCCCUAUCUUAAGUUUGAACCACUAAAGAAAAUAUGAUGCAAAUAGGUUUCCUAGUUCGAGUGCAUUUUUAGUUUAAAUGAUUUUAUAAUUUAAGUAGCUUUUCUGAAAAGGGUUUCCUAUUUGUGAUAUUAUUUAUGGAAAAGAUGGAUCUCUACUUGGUUAAUGCAUGCUAAAGUAAACAAGAAGAGGGUUAUUUUUUUUUGUGAGUUUUCUGGGUGAGUUCUCUGCAAGAGAUUAUGACAUAACAUGGUUUGUUUUAGUGGUCAAAAUAUUAAUUUGGGGUGAGCUUUUGAGACAGUGGACUUGGAUUUGCUAAUAGAAGCUUUUGGCAAAGAACAUGAAAAAGAAAAAAAGAAAAAACCCGUAUGAUACGUUUGAUUCACGAAAAGAAAUAAGAUAAGAAUGGAAUAGCCAACCAUGAGAAUAGAAAAUGUGGGAAUUAUUAAAAAAUAACUGCCAGUAGUUUGGUUUGUAGAAUGGCAUACAAUUUCAAGACCAUCCUAUCGUUUUCUUUUUAAAACCAUUAUACCAUAUAAAGUUAGUUAGGAAUAGUAAAAAAUUCUCAUAAUACUUUCGAUGAUAGUUAAUUAAAGCUUAAUUUGUUUUAUAGUCGUGGUUUUAAAAACCAUAAAUGAAAACAAUUUAUAAAUGAUUAUUAUAUUUUAAUGUAUAAUAGUAAAUGGCUAGUAUAGUAGUAAGAAAGCUAGUAUAAUCAUUAUCUUCACACCAAUAAUAAUUAUGUAAGGAUAUAACUGUGGACAAGAUAAAAGAUCUAAUCGUUAUUAUAAUUCAAUAAUUAUAUUAUCAGUAAUCUAAUUACAUUAUAGUUGUUAUUUAAUUAUUAUAAUUAGAGCACAUAUGAUUUUGGUACUACAUGAAUAUCUACACUUAAUUUGAUUACAAUUUAUUAUAUCAUAGUAUAUGUAUUUUCUAGCAAUUGCUGUACAAUCUAGUAAUACAUCAUCUAAUUAUUGUGAUAUCUGCGAUUUUUUAUUUAAUUGAAAUAUUGGAGUUAUUAUCUCAUAAUUAGAUAAUGAUAUCAAAAUCUCCACUUAGUUAUGAUAUAUAGAUAGGGGAUCAACAAUUAUGAUGUCAUAUUUCUAAAAAAAUGUGCAUUUGAAUUUUAAAAAUCAAUUUCAUUUAGAAUUUAAAAUCUUCCCGAUUGAACGGACCUCUUUAUCCAUGCCAGUCGGCAUAGUUGGUAGCAUUUAAUGUGAAAAAGUACCCAUCAAAUUAAAAAGAUAAACAUAAAAAUAACCAAACUUUGAAAGAUCUCAGGUACAUGAUUCCAUUCCAGACUAGAAAGUGGAGAAUUGACACGGUGGGUCUCUGUUUACCGCCUUAGCCCCACACUCGGAAUCGAACAUCUAAAAACUCAAACAAGAAAAAGAAAAAGAAAAUAAUACAUGAGAAAGUUUUUCCAAUUCUACCAUAAUUUUCCUUGUCGAUCAUUGAUUUAAUUGCUAAGAAAAUAUCACCACCCCAAAGUCCAUCAAAUAUAUAGACUUUAACUAUAUAAGUACCUUUGUCAAUGCCACAAUAGCCUCAAAACAGGAAAAGAAAAGGCAAGACACUGGCAAACUAUAACAAUUUUUGUGGAUGAAAAUUUUAGGUUUAAUCGAAAAGAAUCCAAACUCUAAAUGAAAUAGGACUUUUAAAUUUUAAAAUGUACACUUUCUAAAAACACGGCAUCCUAAAUGUUUUUUUUUUUUUUUUUGGUGCUGGAGGAACCGCUACUGGGCCGAUGGCCGUUCCCGUAAACUCCCAGGCGACGCUAGCAGGGAAACCACCACCCCGACGUCACGCUUAAGUCACCAUAUAGUAGCUAGACUGCCUCCCUGUUUCGCAGGGGAUUCGAACCUUGGCCUCUACCGGGGAGGUCCAAGGCCCUACCAUCUAUGCCACCUUGGUCGGUGGUACGGCAUCCUAAAUGUUGAUCCCCAUUUAUUUGCAUGUAAAAAGAGCGCCAAAUUUUGACAAAUUUUAAUCACUUGCGGGUAGGGGUAAUUAAUGAGUGGACGGCUUGCUCUGAGUCAAGCUUAGGCGGUCCUCUUACAUGAGAAAGUCCCACCCGCACGACUUCAGAUAGCCCAGUCCUACCAUUUAUAAAAUAUAUGUCAUGCGUGGCCUGGGCAUGUUCUUACUUCACUGAUAUCAUAUAAAAUUACAAUGGAUUAUUUAUUUUUCUUUUCUUUUUUCAUUAUAUUUGAUCCAGAAAGUGAUUUUGAGGAUAGAAUCAUGAUAGACGUGGACCAAAGGCUUACUCGAUGGAAAGCUGCUCAGAACUUGCGAUUGAAGUUACCAACAGAGGCACAAGUUAUUACCUUUCACGAAUUAAUCUCUCACAUUGCAUUGCAUCAAGGUCACCGAGUUUCUUCAAUUAAAGAGGUCUAUAACAGUGUCACGUUUUUAUUUGUUUUCACACGUGUACUUAUAGGCCUGCAAUUUGAUAGAGAGUGCAUUCAGCUGUACAUGGACAGCGACGAAACAGCCCGCAACCUAGAAAUUCAUGCAGGGAUCGACCGCCGGAUCACCACAUAUGGGUAUCGUCCUUCUGUUCUGAACAAUGAUUAAUGCCGAGAACUAGUCGAGUAUUCUUUAUACUUGAUUUAGAUAAUUUGGCAAGAAAUUUAACUUUGGCUGGUUCGUACAUCGAUUUCCCGGAUGCUCCUAUCAUUCACGAGAGUAACUAGUCGAACGCUUCAACAUCAAUUUCAAGUUGAGAAGCUGACUCGCGAUCACGCCCGUGAUUGAAAAAUGACGACGAGUAGGGCUGAAUCUAUCUGACUAGCUACCUCCACAUCUCGUGCCCCACAGUAAUCUUGUUCGUCCUUCGUUGGAAGCACAAGCGAUGACAGAGGGGCACACAUGCCGAUUUCGCAAGUUCCGAACCUCAUCGCAGGUGGACACCAGGCUGCAAACGUUAGGGGACCUUUUCGACCAUCGACUUUUAAUGGCUCGAAGCUUAAGCCACUUGGAUUCAAACCGUCUUUGCUUUCUCUGAAGGUGUUCAUGUUAUUUAACGCAGUUUAGCAAGAAAUUCUGCGUUCAUUCCCCUUACUUGGUCUGGAGUUUCUACCAGCGAAUCUCUUCCUGCGUCAUGGCGGUUUUGUUCUUUUGCCCAUCAGUGCAUUCAACUGGUAGUGAAUCAAAUAUGAUAAUAGCGAAUAAGAUGAUAUUAAUCUCAUUUAUCAAUCAAUACAUCUCCCAGUACAGACGGACACAGUUUGCCUGUCUAGAAAAAUGUAAGACUCCCUUUCAUGUCUCAACAUUGAGUGAAAACAAAAUUCGCAUUAUACUUAGCGGUUGAGCUUGUUACAUCAUAUUUAGGCUUUUAUAUUAUUUUAGGCUUUUGUAUGACGUGCAUGUUUGGGACCUGUUAAGUAGAGAGGAAGAUUGAACUACUGAAGAUGAUCACUUUCUAUCUUGUCCUUAAGAUCAAAACGACAUGUGGAAAUUCAAGUUUGUCAAUGUCAAUUGUUGGGAUGGUUCCACUAAUUAAUGAUGCUUAAACUUCUGUGCUAACAGUCUUAUAGUUUUCGAAACUAAAAUAGUCAGGUAUUAACUAAUAUGGCUUCAUGGGAACAGUGUGCAUGGACUUGCCGAGGUCAUAGUAUCCAUAAGAUAAAUGAAUUAUAAUUAAGGAUGAAGCCAAGUAACCACAGCGAUACACCCAAGUGACAUCAAGAAUGCUUUGGAACAGAACAGCAUCAAUAUCUAGUAUCUGAAAAACUGCAUGCUCCAGAAAAACCCAUAGGCAAAAGGCGUGACUGUUUUAGAUUUCACGAAUCAUAUUGCUAAAAGUUUGCAAGAUCCAUUUGAGGCCUUCCGCUGUUAUUUUGACUAUAGUACGACCAUAUCCAGGGCUUACAUAGAGAAUAAUGGAUCCUGGUUCAAGUAACAUAGGUGCAAGAGAGAAAAUUCUAAAACAGAGCUUUGAAGAGACAAUGAAUGAGACAAAUUAAGAAGCAUCUCACCAGUAGUCAUUGAAUGCGCAUGUUCUGUCCGUGCAAUGGUGGAACCAGUUUGCAUCCCUUAUGACUAUAGAACUUCCGGUUGCCAUGGAGAUAUACUUGAUUGCAGAAUGACAAUCUCUGCAAAUGCUAAGAUUCUUAAACGCCCAGAUAGGUUUCGGACUGGAGGUGCUUAUAAGGCCAAAAACAACAGUAAUUUUUUCACUGUGCUCAAAUAUUGUUCCUUUUGUCCCUCCUCCACAUCAUGAAGAACAAAUUCAGUAUCCAGAAGAUCACCGAGUUUCUUUAUUCGACUAGCCAAUUGGUCCUGUACAUCAUAGAUCUCCCGAGCCUCUUCUGUGACAUGUCACCCAUAUAUGACUUUUAUUUUUUCGCUUCAAUCCAGCUACAACCAUCUUCCCUUAGGCCAGUUGAUGCAUACACAUUUGAUAGCAAAACAAAAGCAGCAAGGUUGUCCGGCUCCCACUCAAAAAUCAUUGCUGCAGCUUGUUUUGCAAGUUCAACAUUGCCGUGAACUGGGCAAGCUCUGAGAAAUGUAUGCCAGACAAGUGUGUCAGCCCUGCAAAGGCAUUUAAAGUAUGAACUGAAGGGCUUCAACAAGGGAGCCUUAUCUGCCCAAUAAAUCCAUGCAUGCAUAGUAUUCGAUUCUGGGCAUGAAUCCAUGUUCUAUUGAUCUAAAGUGUUUCCAUCCAUCAGAUACCAAACCCACAUGGCUACAAGAGGAUAAGACAGCAACAUAGGCGAUCUCAUUUGGCCUCUCCCUGGCCUCAAGCAUUUUAUGGAAUGUGACCAGAGCUCUCGUUGCAAAUCCAUGUUUUGCAAAACCAGUGAUCAUUGAAGUCCAAGUUUUAACAUUUGUCUCUCGUAUCAUGGGAAACUCGAAAAGCAGCUUCUGUGUUUACUGUUUUCACACCUGGAAUACAUUGAGAUCAAACCAUUAAGAAUGCACUGAUUUGAGGCGAGCCCUGAUUUGCAUACCCUCACCAAUAGCGCCAAUACAGGCAGCUCCACUUAAAAGGCUGAAAAAAGUAAAAGCGUUUGUCCAAUUCCUCUCUCCUCAAUCUCAUGAAGAAGUUCAUAGGCUUCAUCAGACUCCAAACUUUGGCAUAGGCAUCCGCAUGGGUAUCAUGAGAAAUCAAAUUCUUUUCAAAUAGUGCAUCCAAAGCUUUCUGAGCAUCUUCCAUGUGGCCCGACUGGGAAUACAUGCUAAUAAGAGAAUUACCCAUGUAAGUAUCAAAUGCAAAGCACAAUUUUUAUAGCUACAGAGUAUACUCGUAUCCCCAUAUCUAUUAUCACAAAUAAUUCCACAUGCCUUGAGAACACUAGCAAAUGUGAAAUGGUGUGGCCUUGGUGGAUCUUUUAUUAUUUCCCAAAAGAGUUUGAUGGCCUCCUCAUUCUCUUCAGUUUGCACAUUUCCUCUGAUUAUUGGUGUCCAAGACAUCACGUUGUGAUCUUGCAUCCGAUUAAGCACCUUUCUCAAAUCAUGAAUCGAUCCACUAGCCACACACUUCACGUACAUGUCCACCAAGCUGCAUCGAACACAAACAUCUGAAGCCAGUCCAGACCAUAUGAUACAGGAAUGCAAUUGCACCCCAAGGGAUAUUAGCUCCAACCUUGAACGUGCCGACAAAACAACUGUAAGUGUAAAUCUAUCUGGCACAGCCCACUCGCCAGUAUAUCCAAAAACAAAUCAACAGCAUUGUUUGGACCACCCAAUUGAGUACAUCUUGUCAUCAUCGAAGUCCACGCAACCACACUUCUCUCGGGCAUUUUCUCAAACAACUUAUGAGCUGAAACCAAAUCAGCACUAUCCUUUGAAAACAUGUCAAUUGAUGCACACCUGACACACACAUCGGAAUCAAGAUAGCCGCUUUUGAUUAUAAACUCGAAGCUCUAUUACCAGUUGAUGCAUUCUUUGGACCCGAACAAGCCGAGGGAAAAACCCAUCUUCAAGCAAAUGAGCUAAAAUAUCGACUGCUUCAUACGCGAUGUGGUUAUUGGCAUAGCAAGAACUCAUGGAACUCCAAGAAACCAAAUCCCUAUUAUUACCCAUGUCCCAAAAAGUCCUCUCCGCCUCAGCCCAGUCAUUGAAUUUUGAGCAGAGACUGAUGAGCGAGUUGAGAAUCACCGAGUCGGGCUCAAGCUGAGACGGCGCGAGCGCGCGAUGGACGCGCUUCCCGAGCGCGAACCCUCGGGAAGGAAUGCAGGACUUGAGGAGGAGAGAGAAGGUGAGGAGGCCGCGACAUGAGGUCGGGGUGGAAGAUUGCUCCGCGGAGUUCGGAGACAUCGAGGUGGGCAUCGAGGUGGGCGACCAGGAGGCGGUCGAGGGGCGAGCGAAGGGGAGGAGAGAGAGAGGGACUCAUUGCAUUAUACAAGUCGAGCUUGGUCUGAAAUAUCAGGAAACAGAGAUGAAAACAGAUAGCCAAAGAGGCAAUUCUUCUGCAAAACACAGGAUGCUACAAACGCCGAAAUCACGAUUUACAUAGUCAAUUAUGCUUCGGAUGAAACUACGUUUAUUUGGCAUUCAUUCAAACAGGAAAGAAAAAGAAUCAUACAAUGGACGAUUCCGUAACUUCAUUGCUAUUCUGAAAUCGGUAUCCUUCAGAAAUUGUUGGAGCACUUGAUGUAGCUGAGAAUGAUUCAAGUUCUAUUUCAGCGUUAUCAUCAAACGGCUUCUCGGAUGGAUACAAAAGCGGUUUUGGAGGCAGUUGCAGUUUAUCGAUAUCUCUUUCAAGCAUGUUUAGGACUCUGCUCAUUGAUGGUCGAUCAUCAGGGAUUAAUUGUAUACACCAAAGGGCAACUAUUACCAUCUUCCUUGUUAUCUCAUUGUCCCCUUCCACUUCUUCCAUUUCAACCUCGCUUUCUUUGCUGAGUUGAUCAUAGACCCACAAAGGAAAAUAAGUUUGACUUGAAUGCUCAACAUUCUUUGCAUUUUUCCUCCUACUUGCCAUUUCCAUUAGCAACAUCCCAAAACUAUAAACAUCAGCUUUAUACGAGACACCACCAAUGUCCUUAUAGAAUAGCUCAGGAGCCAUAUAUCCUAAAGUUCCUCUUGCUGCAGUCAACGAUAGUAUGCUAUGGUCCAUGGGAUAAAGUCUUGCAAGCCCAAAGUUAGAAACUUUUGGAGUGAAAUUUUGAUCUAGAAGAAUAUUGUGAGGCUUGAUGUCAAAGUGCAAAAUUUGCAUGUCACAUCCUCAAUGUAAAUAUUCUAUCCCCCUAGCCACACCAAGAGAGAUCUCAUACAUUUUCUUAGAAUCAAGAGAAUCGUCACCAUCUUUUGAGAAAAUGUGCUUAUCCAAAGAUCCGUUCGACAUGAAAUCGUACACGAGAGCUUGCUUCGAGUUGUUAAAGCAAUAACCAACAAGUUCCACCGCAUUAACAUGGUGGAUCCUUCCAAUAGUAGCCACUUCACUUAUAAAAUCUUGACCAUUAGAUUUUGGUUUGCUCAAAAUCUUAACAGCAACUUCGUUGCCACUUCUAAGUACUCCUUUAAACACAGAGCCAUAUCCUCCUUCCCCCAAUUUGUGUUUGAAAUUUUUUGUGAUUUUCUUGAUGUCUGAGUAAGAGUAUCUUAUAGGUGAAAAGUUGUUAUGAGCUACUAGGAAUUCUUCGAUGUUUUCAUUCAUUGCUCGGUGCCUUCUCUUCCUCUUAUAGACUAAAAAUAUCAACACACAUGGAGCUCCCAGCAUGAAUUUUGCCACGAAGAAGUUUUCUGUGGAAAAAACUGCGGAAAAAUUUGUCCAUAGAUUAGCGUAGUGUAAUAUAGAAAGUCAUCCUUUGCUGCUUGAGAUUUUCAGAGUUUGGAGGAAUAAAGGACUAGUCAUACCUAACAAAUGGGGGAGAAGAGGAGGUGCAUAUCUCAUUACUAUCGCCGCCAUAGAAGUAUCUGUAGAAAGCAAGAAUAAUUUGUUCGAGAUGACUGAAAAUGAUUACAAAGUGUUAACAACCAAUCAAUGGAGACCUAAGCUUAUCAUUUUAGCGAUAAAAUAUAAAAUGAAUACUCGUUAAGCUAUGACCAAGUCAAAGAUAAAUUGAUACAAUCACUGCAAAGUGCAAUGACAGACUUUUAUUCAUUAAAAGUUGCAGGUGCAGAAGUCUAGAAUAAAGAAGAGUGACUGAGUUUCACUCUCCUAAAUAGCAUCUUUCUUUCCCUCGGGGAAUCCAUAUUAUCGUAGAAUAUCACUUUUAUCAUAGAAAAGAUGACUUCGCUUUUGUUCCCCUAGAUGUACCAAGUGAUUAAUUCUGAUUACCAAACAUCGUCUAACUUAUAUGCAAUUUAUUCUCCCACAUGAUAAUAACCGCCAUAUAAGUGACACCAGCUACUAUCAAAUCAAAUAUUUUUUUCCCAAAUCAAAUAUAAAGUAAUUAAAUCUAGAAAAGCUUCAUGAGUUGUAGAACAAUAAAAGAGCUCAAUCUACUCGGAAAUCUUAUUUAACUUUUUUAUUUCAGUGAUGUGGCAAUUUUUUUUUAUUGGAUAUUUAAAGAAAUUAGUGACACAAUGUGUGGAUCCCAAUAUGAUGGUAUCCAAUUGAAACUUACCAUGUUGCUGGAUAAUUAAAUUUUGAUAAGAUCUCUUCAUAGAGCUUGCAUUUAAGAAAAGGAGGAGGAAGUAAAGAAAAGCCGAAGGGAAAGUCGCUUACCGGAGUCAUAGACACUGCACCUCCCGCGGUAGUUGAAACCCAAGAUGCAAAAUGCAGCUAGUCCACCACCAUUCUGAUAGGAUAGAUUGAAUCCUUGCGCCAUCGCGUUGUGGAUGUCCUUGUAUGAUGAGCACACACGAUAAUGCUGAUCCCUCUCCGAACACGAGAAAUAGUAUGAUGCAAAUGUCACCGCGGUUAUAGUGCAAAAAUCCUUGAUGUCCGAUGCGUGAGCUUCAAGAGCAGCGUAUGAGUACCCCUUCGUCUGGGAAAAAUUUGGAGGCGUGCCGGCAGAGUAUGCUCCCUCGAUGCACGGUUUGGUAUCAAGAUACGAAUUAGAAGCAACGGGCAAUAAGCACUUCACAAAGACCACUUGCCUUGAAAGAUAAUUGUCGAAAACUCUUCGAAAUAUGGCACGCCUCAACGAGUGACAAGGGAGGGAUGAGCAAUUACCCUCUUGCAAGCCAUCAUCAACCACCGUUAUGUAACCACGGAAGCUAGAUUCGUCGUGAUAUGAAUCGUAAUAUAUCGACUUCACAUAAUAUCUACUAUCAGCUUGCAGAUAUAAAACCGUGUGGUUAUUUUCACAAACUAGCUCAAACUUCGAGUUGCCGCAGUAUUUUGGAUCGUUUUUCAAUCGAAAGGGAUAACUUAUAUUACGGAUCUCACCACAAGACGAAGCGAUGCAUAAAUGAUUUUUCUUCGCACCGCAACUUGUACCUAAUAGCAGAACUUGUAAUAUGAACAAAAGCACAUGGUACAUACAUAUGGAACCGAGAGAAUUGAUCAUCUCUCCACUGCUCGAUGCAAGAAUGGAGGUUUUAGCUUGGAGAUUUUGGUGGAGGCUCAAAAGGGCAGGGAUUAUUUAUGACCGAAAAGAUCUGUUGGGGGGUCAUCUGUCAUUGAAAUUCCAACUCAACAACUAACACGAAGUCAAGUCAAGGAAAGCAACUUGUGUGGACCAAUUGAAGGUUCCAUGAGUGGAAAUUAUGCAGGGAUCGCUGUGUGCGUUGUCAGGCACACAUAACACGGUAGUGAAUUAAUUUAUGGAUAGCUUUCACAUUGAUUAGGAUAGCUUACGUUGCGAAUCUGGCCACAAAAUAAAACGGCGCAUAAGUGAUUCUGCUUUGCACUGCAUGUUGAUCCUAACAGUAGUACAUGUAAUAUGAGCAAAAAGACACGGUACAUAAAUAUGAAGCUGAAAGCGUUAAUCAUCUCUCUACUUCUCGAUGCAAGAAUGGAAGUCUUAGCUGGGAAACUGAGGUGGAAGCUCGACGAAGGAAGGGAUAAUACACGAUCGAAAAGAUAAGCUAGGUGUCACCUGUCAUUCAAAUUUCCAAGUCAACAAGUACCAGAAGGUCAAGUCAAGAAAAGUGGCUUGUGGGGACGAAUCAAAGGUUCCAUCGGCUUUAAUUAUAGAUAUCUUUAUUGAUUUGGAAGAAAACUUCUACACGGUUUCUGUUUUUGACUACUUGGACCAUCAGCUUUAAUUAUAGAUAUCUUUAUUGCUUUGGAAGAAAACUUCUCCACGGUUUCUGAUUUUGACUACUUGGACGAGUUCAUUCUCUCCAAAAAUCAGCUUUACUAUCCUAAAAUUGAAAUAUUGUGCCUUAAAUCGAAUAAUAAUCCUUAUAAGUGAGGCAUUUGUGUUGUAAUAAGGCCAAUAUGUCAGAAGUGCUAUUUUGUGAAGACAAAAACGCAAAAAUAUAAUAAUGUUGAUGACAAUAAAUUUGGUUCACUUGAAUUUCACGUGAUAAUGUUGUUCAAGUCCUUACUUCUUUGCAUUAUAUGAAAUGGCAACAAAGAUCAAGCCAGUCAUUUCCAUGAGAACUAAUCUUUAUUCUAAGCAUAUUUCUUUGUUCUUGAUGCAAUCUCUGCUUGUUUUUGGAGUUCAAAAGUUACUUAUUGCACAUACAAACUAUUCAGUAUUAAUCAUGUCUAACCUUAUCUUUUACUCAUCAUUUUCCUCUAUCAACAAGCAUCUUAAUAAUUCAAUACACUAUUAUUGUAAGCUAGUCUUGACAAAAAUAGUGUUAGCAAUAGUAACCUAUAUUCCCCAUUCAAAUCCCCUAUCAAGAUGACCUCUACUUUUGAUGGCUAAUUUCAACUCGCCCUCUCUGAUUUCAUGAUUGUCUAAAUCAAUCCCUCUUUAUUUCUUUGCUUAGUCAACAUCGCCUGUGUAGAUAUCUUAUCUCGAUUCAACCCAAAAUCCAUCCGUACAAAAUCCGAUGCGCACAAUAUCAUAUGCUCAAUUGUAAUUAAACCCGCAAUUAAUUAAAACAAAAUGAUUAAGGAAGGGAGUUGCUCUUCUUCUUCAUAUGGGACGUGUGGUCCACAUCAACUGCCAUGGUUUGGCCAUAAAUGUAACCAUCGUUGUAGGAGUUCGUUUCAUUAGAAACCAAUUUCAUAUAAUAUUAAUCGACAUACUGAUAUAAGACAUAUUUGUUUGAAAGCUGGCUCGCAUUAAGUUUCUACAGCCUUUUAGAUCGCCUUUCAAUAAAAGAUGACAGCUUAUGUUUUGGACAUUGCCGCAAAAUAAAGUGGGGCACAAGUAAUUAUGCUUUGAAUUGAAGCUUGUCUAGUAGCAGAACAUUUCAUAGCAAGAGUACAUCACGGUACAUUAAAUGUGCUGUGGAGAGAAUUACCCAUGUUUAUAUUGUUUCAUUUGAUGCAAUGAAACUUCUAAUUGGUGAUGAGAUGGAGGCUCAGUAAAGGGAUGCAUGAUAUAAUUGAAAAGAGUUGGGAGUCGUCGGUUAUCGAAAUGUCCAAAUCAAUUGAUAAAACAAAGUCAAGUGAAGAAAAAGUAAAAUGCGUAGCCGGCUAAAGUUUUAUUAUAUCAGAGGGAAUUAUGUAAAAGUUGUUGUACUUGCAAUCAAGAUAACAUAACGUAGUGGCAGAUUAACAAAUGGAUUGCUUUUACAUAGAUUGGGAAAGAAACUUCUGCCGUUUCUAGAUUUGACGUACUGUGGCAAUUGUACCCAAAAUUGAAUAAAUGUACUUUUGAGUGAUGGCAUCUGAUGUUCUACUUUAUUUCAAGUCCAAUAUCUCAUCGUCUCGUCGUUAAAUUGUGAAAACGAAAAGGAGAAAACAAUAUUGAUGAUAAUAACCUUUUGUUCAUCAAUUUUGAAGUAAUGAUUUUGUUGAACCCAUUCCUUCUUUGCAACGAGAGAUCCGGCAAAGCUGGUAUGAAAGUCAACAUUUCAUCAUCACCAAGACAAGUCUCAAUCCAAAACUGGGCAUUUCUGUUUGUUCUUCAUAUCUUGCUCCAUAGUCGAUGCCCAUUCAUUUUUAAUUUUUUGAAGUGAAGUUAUUCAUCUUGUACAUCAACUAUUCAAAAGUCUUGUCUAACCUUGUCCUUUUUCACUUAUAAUUUCUCCGAGGGUAAGCGCAUUGACAACUCAAUAUAUCAGUCUUGCAUAUUGAACUUACAAUACCUACCAUUACUGAUUGUUAAAAUGUCCACCAUAUUCAAAUAAAUCACCUAUCGUGAUCGACACUAUUGGGCUCAUUCCACUCAGCCCCCUAUAAUCUCAUGAUUGUCUUAGUCAACCCCUAAAAAUUAAAUUUGUCUUACCCAACAUCCUAGCCUCGGGAUCGCACAAACGGAGGAAUACUCAUUCCAUUCAUUGUAAAGGACAAAAUAGUCGGCCUAUUAUGUUUUUCCUCUAUGACAUGUGCAAGUCAUUCAUGGGUUACGCUACUACCUAUCACCAGACAUGACAUCGAAGUUGUAGAUUGCUUGAGGAGGUGGCUAUUGAUGAGGUGGGUGAUCAGGCGGGGAUCAAAGGGUGGGGGUGAGAGAUUUUGGUUCAUCGAGUUCCGAGCAAUGAUUUUGUUUAGCCAAUUACUUCUUCGCACCAAGAGAUCCAGCAAACUAGGUAGAAAAGUUAAAAUAUAUCAUCCUCACCAAAACUAGUCUCAAUCCUAGAUUUGGCAUUUCUGCUUGCUCUUCAUAUCAUACUCGACCCCGCCGAUCUUCUUUGCAGUUUCCAAGUUAUUCAUCUAGUAUAUUAGCUAUUCGAAUAUCUUUUCUUUGUCCUUUACUCAUUAUUUUUCUCUAUUAAGGAGCAUCUCGAUAACUCAAUAUAUUGAUAUUAUAUACCUAUCUUAAUGCAUACCCCAUGUAAAUAGAUCACCUAUCGUGAUCAAAAUUACUGGGCUAAUUCCACUCAGCCAUCUAUGAUUCAUGGUUAUCCUAGUCAAACCCCAACAAUAUAUUUUGUCUCAGUCAACAUCCUUUUCUUUGGUUUUUAGUCUCCGUAUCAUAAAAAAAUCCCAGCACGGUCUUCUGAUCUUGCAUCCCAUCAAACACCUUUCUCGAAUCAUGAAGCGAUCCACUAGCUACCCACUUCACGUACAUGUCCACCAAGCUGCAUCCAACACAUAAAUGCGAAGCCAGUCCUGACCGUAUAACCCACGAAUUCAAUUGAACUCCAAGCCAUGGCGACUCCAAGUCUGAACAUGCCGACAUAACAGCUGUGUGUGUAAAGCUAUCUGGCACAGGCCCACUCACAAGCACAUCCAGAAACAAAUCAACAGCUUCCUUCGGACAACCCAACUGGAAAAAUAUUGUCACCAUCAAAGUCUAAUUAACCACAUUCCUCUCAAGCAUUUUCUCGAACAUCUUACGAGCUGAAACCAUUCCAGCACUACCCUUUGCAAACAUGUAAAUCAAUGCACACACAAAAUGGAACAUCGGAAUAAACGUAGCUGCUUUUAAUUAUAAGCCCGAAAACUGCAUCACCAAUUGACGCAUUCUCCGGAGCUGAACAAGCCCGAAUAACCCCGAAACAAUAAUCAUUAGGGAAAAAACCAUCUGGAAGCAUAUGAAUGAAAGUAUCGCCCGCUUCAAACUCCAUGUAAUUAUUGGGAUAGCAAGAGAUCAUGGAACUCUAAGAAACCAAACCCCUUUUAUUACCCAUGUCCCUAAAAGUCCUCUCCGCCUCAUCCCAGUCAUUGGAUUAUGAGUAGAGACUGAUAAGCGAGUUAAGGAUCACCGAGUCGGGCUCAAGCUGGGAGCGAGCGCGCGAUGGACGCUCCUCGAGUGGGAACUCACAGGAGCGAAUGCAGGACCUGAGGAGGAAAGGGAAAGUGAGGAGGUCGGGAUGGGACCCAUCACGGGACAUGAGGUCGAGGUGGGAGAUUGCUUCGCGGAGCCGGCUGACAUCGAAGUGGGUCGAGGGGCGAGGGUGAGGGGUUUUGGUGGGAAGGGGAGAGCUUGAUAUUGGACAGUGGAGAACGGGAGAGGAGAGAGAGAGACUCAUUGCUGCAUACAAUUCGAGCUUGGUCUGUCAUAUCAGGAGCACUCGGGAAACAAGAAAUGAAAACAGAUUGCCAAAGAGGCAAUUCUACCGCAAAGCACAAGAUGCUACAGACGCUAAAAUCAUAUACGUUCACGAAUUACAUGGUCAAUUAUGCUUUUGAUUGAACUACAUUUAUUUUGCGUUCAUUCAAACAAGGACAUCAAAAAAAAAAAAAAAAUUCCAUACAAUACACGAUUAUGUAAUCUCAUUGCUAUUCUAGAAUUGGUAUGCUUUAGAAAUUGGAGUACUUGAUGUAGUUGAGAAAUGAUUCAAGUUCCGUUUCAAUGCUGACAUCAUCAAACGGCUUCUCGGACGGAUCAUAAAAGGUUUUGGAGGCAAUUGUAGUUAAUAUCUCCUUCAAUCAUGUUUAGUACCUUGUUCAUUGAUGGCCGAUCAUUAGGGAUUAAUUGUAUACACAAAAGGGAAAUUAUCACCAUCUUCUUCAUCUCCCCAUCCCCUUCUACUUAUUCCGUUUCAACCUCGUUGUCUUUGCUAAGUUGAUCAUAAAUCCACAAUGGGAAAUAAAUUUGACUUGAAUGCUCAACAUUUUCCUUUACAUUUUUCCUCCUACUUGCCAUUUCCAUUAGCAACAUUCCAAAAUCAUAAACAUAAACUUUAUACGAGACACAACCAAUGUUCUUGUAGAAUAGCUCGGGAGCCAUAUAUCCCAAAGUUCCUUUUGCAGCAGUCAAGGAUACUAUGCUAUGGUCUGUAGGAUAGAGUCUUGCAAGCCCAAAGUCAAAAAAUUUCGGAGUAAAAUUUUGAAAUAGAAGAAUAUUGUGAGGCUUGAUGUCAAAGUGCAAAACCUGCAUAUUGCAUCCUCGAUGUAAAUAUUCUAUCCUCCUAUCCACAUUAAGAGAGACGUCAUAUAUUUUCUUAUAAUCAACAGAGUCAUUGCCAUCUUGAGAGAAAAUGUGCUUAUCCAUCGAGUUGUUCAACAUGAAAUCGUACAUGAGAGCUAGCUUAGAGUUGUUAAAACAAAAACCAACAAGUUGCACCACAUUAACAUGGCAAAUCCUUCCAAUAGUAGCCACUUUGCGUAUAAAAUCUUGGCCAUUAGAUUCUUAUUUGUUCAAAAUUUUAACAGCAACUUCAUUGCCACUUCUAAGUACUCCUUUGUGCACGGAGCCAUAUCGUCCUUCACCUAAUUUGUGUUUGAAAUUUCUUGUAAUUUUCCUAAUUUCCGAGUAAAAGUAUGUUAUAGGCAAAAAGUUAUUAUGAGCUCCAAAGAAUUUUUCGAUGUUUUCGUUCGCUUCUAGGUGCCUUCUCUUCAACUUAUAGAAUAAAAAUAUCAGGACACAUGGAGCUUCGAGCACGAAUUUUGCUGCGAUGAAGGCUGUGCAUAAAUUGUUCAUUGAUUAGCUUAGAGUAAUGAUUUUUUUUUUAGGCAUAUAAUUUUUUUUGUCAGAAUGCUACUUGAGAUCUUUAUAGUUGUAAGGAGAAAGGACUAGUCAUAACCAAGAAAAAGGGGAGACUCCGAAGUGCAACGUAAAUCGUGGCCCGCCCUUGUAACCCUACAAAUUGGUUCAUGUACCGCCUUCCUCUUAACAAGAUUUUCCAUUGUAGGCAUAGCAUUUUGACAUACCCCCAUAAAGAAAAACUUGAUUUUUGGAAUAUUCUUAGCUUGCCACACGUAUUUCCAUAGUCCAGCUUUGGGUUGAUAUGAUGAGGAUGCUAUGGCUAUUUUAACUUGCUCCAUUGAGGCUCUAUUACUGUGAUAACCACUUUUUAACCGUGUAAUUCCUAGACUUAGUGUUAGUCCAUGCAAGUCCAUCUGCUGUGUUUGGGAGGCCAAUAGGAGUAGAGAAUAUUGCUCUUGCUAUCUGGUCAUCAGACAUGGAAUUUAUGAGUGGCUCAUUCCAUUUUCCAUCUCUAGUCAUUAUUAGGCUAGCCACUUUAAGCGGUUCUCCCCUAGUUGCGGGGCCUCCUAUGGGGCUUUUUCUUAACCAUUUAUCUUCCCUAAUCUUGAUUUGUUCACUAUUGCUGUUGCUGAUUGUCCACAUCAUAAGAAGAGAAAUGGCUUAUCUUCCCGUGAUAAGGCUUUACCAACCCCACGAAAGCCAUGCCCUUCUCCCUGCCUUCUAGAAAUUCAUACUUUGACUCCAAAAUGUCUCACAGUGUUGCCAAAGCCUCCAUACUUGUUUCCCUAACAUGGCUUUAUUGAAAUCCAAUAGGUCUCUAAACCCAAGUUUUCCUUCAUCCUUUAUGAGCUUUAAAGAGUCCCAAUUGAUCCAACAUAGACCAAUAGCCUUAUUGCUAUUUCUCCACCAAAAUGUAGCUAUUUUCCUCUCAAUUGCCCUACAAAUAAAAAUUGAAAUUCUAAAAAUAUACAUUGCAUAUUGGGGUAAUGCCUAAACCACUGCCUGAAUUAAUACAUCCUUCCUCACUUUUGACAUUAAGUUUUCCUUCUAGCUUUCUAGUUUCAUAUUCACUCUCCCAAGGAUCAACGUGAACAUCUCCUUUUUGAGGCCCCCAAUCAGAAUGUAUUCCCAAGUAAUUCUAGUCUUUUCUAUAUCUGGCACUCUCAUUUCCAAAGUCAUGUUUGUUCUCAGACUUUGUGGGUAGCCCUUACUAAAAUCCAUCCUUGACUUAUUUAAAUUAAUGAUCUGACUAUAUGCAAAGCAAUAUUGAUGUAAGACAACAGCUACAUUUUGACAUUCUUGGAUUGUACCAUCCAAAAAAAAAAUGUGGAGUCAUCAACAAAAAGAACAUGGGAUAAUGUAGGGCAAUUGCCAUUCAACUUAAUACCUGUACUUAUGUCUAUUGCUUGUUUCAUCAAAUGAGAUAAAACAUUAGCGAUGAUAAUAAAAAGAUUGGGGAAUAAAGGGUCACUUUGUCGGAUGUCACGUGUCAAUUUAAAAUAUGAGAGACGUUCUCCAUUAAACUUCAUGCUAAAAGACACCGAUGUGAUGCACUGCAUCACCCAAUUUAUCAACUUUCCACAUAAACCCAUUCUUAUCGUACACUCGUACACUCUUCAAGGAUAUUGCACUUUGAAAUCAUAUGCUUUUUGUGUGUCUAGUUUAAGAACCGCUUGAAAUUUCCUCUUCCUUUGUCUAAAUCUUAGCUGAUGAAGAACCUCUUGAACGUUUAGGAUGUUAUCCUGAAUUUAUCUCCCAUUGAUGAAUGCCCUCUACUCUAUCGCAAUUAAAUAUGGUAGGCAUUGUUUCAAAUGGUUAGCCAUGACUUUCAAAAUGACUUUUAUAGAUGAAGUUGUAUAACAUAACGGGGUGGUACCGUUCAAGCAAGUGCGGAUUGGGGAUUUUUAGAAUGAAAGUUAUUAUACUUGGAUUCAUACCAGGGUUCAAGUAACCUGGAUCAAAGAAACAUUGUAUCUCCCUAUGAAUAUCUAUUUGGAUAUCUUGUUAGCGAUGCUUAUAAAAUAAACCAUUUAAACCAUCUAGUCUAGGGGCCUUGGUUGCUCCUAGUUGAUGAAAUGCAGUGGAAACCUCCUCCGUAAUGAUGUGUUCAAUCAAUGUUUGACUUAUAUUUUCUCCCACCAUACAUGGGUAAUUGGUAAAUAAGGGUUGAAAGUUUUUUGGCCCGACCAUUUGGUAAAGUUUGGAGAAAUAAUCUAUUGUCAUCCUCUUUAUCUACUAUUCAUUUUUCAUCCAAUCCCCAUUAGAACUUUGUUGACACCUAAAAUUUUGUUGAUCGUACAGGGCAUUCGUCUAUUUUGCAAAAAAAUAAUAUAUGUAUAUAUAUAUGGAGGUAAAAAUAAAUAAAUUAUAUAGUAAUAAAAAAUUAACAAUAAAUAAAUAAAUAAAUAAAAAUGACAAAAAUAUAUUAUAAAAAUCGAGCGGACCAGUUUUAUCUAGCCCAUCUUUUGGCAAAAAUUUCGACCUAUCAGCCCACUCUUCUCCUAGCCCACUAAGCCCACACGUUUAUGAUUUAGCCCAUGCUUGCUAUGUCUUCUUGGGCCCACUAAGGUUGCGCAUGGCAACAUUUCUUGGCCGGGGAACAAUUUUUUUUUCAGAAAUAGUUCUUUUCUAUUUCUAUUAUGGGGAACAAUUUCUAUGUAAAAAAACCCGUUUGGUAAUAACAUAAAAUUUUUACUCUAGAAAUAGAAAAUGAAUAGAAAUGCGUUUGGUAAAAAAUAGUUUCUUUUUUAUAUUUAUUUGUUUUUUAUUUUUUGCCGGUAGAUCGCCGCCACCGCCGGACGUUGCCACCGCCGCACGUUGCCGCUGGCCGACCGCCGCCCACUGACUGCCGCCGCCGAUCGUUGUCACACGGCCCAUCGGCCGUCGGCCGCCGGAGUCGGCUAGCGGCGGUUGGCCAGCGGCGAUGUGCGGUGGCGACGGCGUCGCGUCCGGCGGCAACGGGCGGAGACCGGCAGCGGCAAUCGGUGCGCGGUGACGGUCGGUCGGCCGGUGGCGACCGGCGGCGGUCGGUCGGCCUCCGGCGACCGGCGGCGACGGUCGGUCGGCCUUCGGCGAUCGGCCGACGGCAGCAGUGGCGGCGGCGGGCGACGGCGGGCGGCAGUCAAGGGCAGUCAAUGGCAGUCAGCAAGAGAAGAAUAAAAAAAAAAAAAUUCACUUAUUUCUUAAACUUGUUCCCGGGAACAAGAAGCAACUUUUUUUUACUUCUAAUUUCUAUUCCAAAACCAUUCCUGGGCUAACUUUUUGUUCCCGUGAACAAAAAACUAACUUGCCGUUAUCAAACAGGUUUCUAUUCUUUUUUUGUUUUGGGGAAGAGAAGAAUAUAAAUUCUUGGGCUGGGGAAGUUUACCAUGCGCAGCCUAAGGUGAAAAGAAGAAGGAAGAGCCCAGUCCCCCAUGUUUUCUUCUUUGCACGCUCGCGCGUCUUAGCAGGAGAGCCCGUGGAGCAUCGGUGAGCAAAGCAGGUCCUCUGUUCUGUCCUCGGCGCUCCUCCUCUCCGCACCUCGCGCCGGAGAAGAUUAUUGACACCAUUGACGACGUAGCCGAGGAGAUCUCGUUCCAGAACUUGGACGAUGACUUCAAGUUGCUCCAGCAACCUCCCCACCGACGUCCUCCAGAGAGUAGUCGAGGGUAAGUUCAUGGUGGAGAUCAAGAGCAAUCGGUCCGUCGAGUGACGAUACUCUCCAGAAAUAUCUACGAAGCCUUUCAAUGGCUAGUUCGAUAGCAGUUUUCAAUCGGUAAUCGUCUCGGUCGGGUUGUUUUACCCAACGCUGGUGUCGGCUUAGUUCGGUUCUGUCCGUCGAGCUGAGAAGACCCGAAGCGCAUCAGUCUCACUUGGAGGUUCUUCGCCGGUGUCAAUCCUUACGGUUGGCACAAGUUUUUCUAUUCAUUUUAACCAGCAAGUGCUGCUUCAAUCGGCUUCAGAGACAAGGUACAAGAAUUUGAGGUGUGGAGUUUCCCCAAUGCUUGAGUGGCUUUCAUUGGCGUGACGACUCCAUCAUCGACAGACCGAGGAUCCUUAGUCCUCAUUUUGGAGCAAGGUACGGUUUCAUUUCUCUAUGGCGAUUUUGAAUCCUCCUGUGCUUAAAGAAAAUGCUCACCGGCUAAGUGUUGUUUGACGAUCCGAAUAUAUAUUUUUUUUUCAACUGUUUGUGAUAACUUGAAAUGGAUCUUUUCAUUUGAGAUCUGCAUGGUGGCAUCCUGGAGGAAAAAUGCUCACCAUCCGUUUGAUAAAAUACCUGAAUCAUGACUGUAAUGUCUUUGUUAAAUGGCUAGAUCAGGAGCUACAUUGCAUCAACUCAGAUUGAAGUCGGCUUGAUGAGAAUGCGUGAUCAUUUGUUGCUAAAUUGCCGUCUUGACUCAUUUCAUCAACAUGACAGUCAAGUUUUCUAGAUUAUUCGUGUUUACAGCCCGAGUCAAAUCCUUAGUAUGAACAAAGUUGAAUAUUCGAUAUUGUCACGUAUUGGCUUUGCUCUUCUUGCUUGUCGUGUUUCCUUCUUCCCGUAUGCACUGGUGGUGUUCAAUGGUGGUCUCCGGCAACGCUAUUUUGGUGGAUGUUGGUGGCGCUUGCUGAUGAGAAAUGGCUGGACAUAGAAGAUAGAUGCAAUUUGUUAUCCGAUUCUCCAAAGCAUUUCUUGAGGGGCUACGCUUGGCCAUUCCUUGAAGUCUGGAGGUGGUUGGUUAGCUCAUUUGAGCUCGACGAACGAGAAAACCAAGGUAAUAGCCUUUGAUCUGAUGAAGCGAAGCCACUUGUGGUGAUUUUAGGAUUACCCACAAGUGGCUAGGGCUAGGAUCAUCAUUUUGAAUGCUCAAUGAUAGUUCUAGAUGGAUAUGUGUGGAUAUGAUGUUAAUCAGUGGCUGUUAAGGCAUGAUUGUUAAGGUAUGAUUAGUGGAUGUUGAUAAUGUAAAUGUGAUUUCUGGACUGAUUGCAUGAUGUUGACGAUAUGAUGAUGUACAUGACUGAUUUUCAUGACUUGAUCAACUAGAAAAUGCUAGUAAUCUUCAUUAUCUUCAUUUUGAUAUAUCCUAUGUCAUCAUAUGAUGUCGUUUGCAUGCUAAAAUUGUGUUGUGAUCUUAGGUUUAGAAUCUGAAUUCUGAAUGUGUUAUGUUCUGUCUAACUUGGCUAUCUUGUUGAAUUUUUAUGAUUUUUUAAGAUGCGAUUUAGGUGUUGAUGUCUUCACAGAAUUUGUUCAUCACGUCUUGGUCUAGGUCAUAGAAAAUUUUCAUAAGAAUUUGAGAUAAUUUAGUCAGUACAAACACCAUUCAAAGAGACAUGCUAGUUUCUGGAAUCCUAAUUUCCAAUUUGACCUUCACGUACUCUUUGACUUUUACAAAAUUCUGUGUCUAGAAUCUAAUGAUACUUCCUAUAUGAAAAAUGUUCAUCACAUUCAUAUUUGUAUUGGCAAAGUUUUUCAGAAAAUAAAAAAGUUAGUACCGAAAGGGAUCAAGUCCCCGGGUUUGGAAUAUUUGAUUGCGUAAAUAAUAAAAUAUCCUCACGUAUCUUACUUGGUUUAUAGCCGACAGAAAAGACUAGUGGCGAUUUUUUAGUCAAAAUUUGUAUAGGCUUAAUUGAUUUAAAAUCUAAACGCCUGACAUCGCGCGAGGUAUGAGCUAGGAGAGCCCCAGUCAAUGAAAGGCCGUUGGGACGAAGUUGACAAAAUCCUUAAACCUAAUUUCCCAAUUCCCUAGUCAAAGGGGUUAGGUCGCGACAAACUUUUCAGUAUAGUUAUCCUAUUUCUGAUUCUUCUCUAAAUUGUUGUUGCAUGGAAAAAAAUCACCCCAUUUAAGCCAACUUAAGCCAACUAAUUUUGGACUGCAUGCUUUAGUCAAUCUCCUCUCAACUCCAUAAAGUUUCAAUUUCUUUAUUCAGCUUCUGCACUAUUUCUUUGUCAUGGCACACCGUGGGAUUGUUCAUAAGCUCUUGAAGUUCACUCCUCAACCUAGAAAUACAUUUAUAUGCAUUUGGAAAGCAGUCCUUACUCUAUGCGACUAGCCUCACAGGUACUAACCGUAACUUUUCUAGUAUAUUAUCUUGCUGACAUUUGCUAGACUUCCAUGCUCUUCUCACUAUAUUUGUACACUCUCCGUCCUGCAACCAAAAUGCUUCAAAUUUGAAUUCUUUCUUUUUAUGAUCAGCUUUCGAGAAAAAGGAUACAAGGAUUGGAUAAUGAUUUGAUCCAAUAGGUGGCAAGGCAAAGCUUUCAGCAAGUAGAAACGAGACUCACCAGUCCAUAGUACAUUAAGCUCUAUCAAUUCUCUCCUUAACCAAAGAGUCCCCUGCUCUAUUAUUGGACCACGUAUAGGCACACCCCUUACUCUUUUAACUCCAUUAGCAAAUAAUUAUUAAGGAAAUCCAGGAAAGCAGCAAACAAUUAUUAAGGAAAUCCGGAAAAGCAGCAAGCCUGUAAUGCUCAGCCAUCUUCUUGCCCACUUUUUUCCAAUGAAAAAAGCACCUCGUUGAAGUCAUCAAUGCACAACCACAAUUGAUUAGAAUAGUUGAGUCUAUGUAUUUAUUUCCAUAAUUGAACCUUUCUCUAAACUCAUUCGAUGCAUGAAGGAUGGUGACCUUCAUGGGCUUCCUGUUCUCCUUAAUUCUACAAUAAACAUUACUGAAAUGUGUCGAGUAAAAUUCAAAAGAUAAGGUUACUAGCCCAUCCCAAACUAUGGCCAAAUCCCCCUCCCCUCUCUCACAAAUUUGCCCUUUGUUAGUUUUUGUUAAAUUUUACUAUCAAAUUGUUGAGUUGGGUGACACGUGAUAGUUAACUGAUAUACUAUUUUGGGAUUUUACUCUCUGGUUGUCAUAGUUGUACCAUUUUUGUGAUUUUUUGUUAACGAAUGGCAUAUUUUUUACAAAUGUACCAGUUCGAGAUUCUUGACGGUUGAAUAGAUUAGUUUGGUGUAAAUUUAUCACAAAUGUACUGGUUUGGAGUUUUUUGUGGUCAUUUGAAGUAAAUUUAUCACAUAUGUAAUAGUUAUAGGUCAUUCAUGAUCAAAAAAUUAUUUUUGAAUAAAUUUAUCAUAAAUGUAUUAGUUUAUAAUUUUUCAAGAUAUUACCCCUUUAUAUUUUCAUUCUUCCUUCCAUUUUCAUUAGCAAUAAGCCAAAACUCUAGACGUCAACUUAAAAAGGGACCCACCAAUGCUCCUUAGAACGACUCAGACGUGGUACAACAAAAAGUUUCUCUUGCUGCAGUUAAGAACAUUGUCCUGAUCUCAGAGUUGAAGUUUUGCAAGUUGAAGUUGAAAGUCUGAUUUUUUGGGAGUAUAAUUCUCUAUCUAGAUACACUUUAUUUUAUGAUCUGUAAAUGAAGUAAUGUGUGGUAUGACUCAAUAAUAAGUUUCUUAUUUAAAAAUAUAUAUAUUAAUACUUUCACAUUUUGGGAUGGAGCGUCCAAGUUCUUUUAACUUGAAUCUUAGGCUAAAGAUGGAAUUUAGAUAGUCUCUGGAGGGACUGAAUUACUUGGCUUAAUCCGGCCGAAACCCAACCAAAUAAGACCUUCAUCACCAAACGAGCCCAAAGAGCCAAAGGCAAAGAAAUUGAUUAUGGAUUGAGAGGCCAAAGCCCAAACUCAAUCCAUCACAAAACUAAAUUUUUGUUCUAAAAUUGACAAAUCAUUGAAUACCCAACCAUUAGCGUACUAAACUAAAAUUUAGAUCGUCAAAUUUGAUGAUAAAUUCGCUGUUAUUAAUAUAUUUCAAAUGUAUUUUAACAUAAACUCCACACUCACACUUGUCUAUAUUCAUACAUCAAUAUCCAAGUCGUUAAAGUUCUUGCAAGGCUGAGCCACGUGCACACUUACAUGCAAUUUUUACCCAAUAAUUUGUAUUAUUUUAGCAAAUCUUUCAUCCGAUAAAUCUCUAAUUUAGCAUCCCUACUUCUUAUGCAUGUUUUGGUAAUAAAUUUGUAAAAUAGAAUUAUGCAUAUUUUGAUUGUCAAUAUAUACAAAAAAUUGUUUACGUAACACAUAUAUUGAUCAUCAUAUUCCACGUCAUACUAUCAAAUUAAUUUCGUCCAAUGUUUUCAAGUAGAUAAGUUUGAAAGCAAUAUUAGAACAAUUACCAGAUGCAUAAUUGACAUAGACCAGACUACUAAAGCAUAUCUAGAGCAUUUGGAUAGGCAGAACCAUAAAUCAAUUAGUAAACUUGAGGCAAGAAUGGUCGCACCUUGAUUUUCUCAUUCUUUUUGGUUGGAGAGAGUAUUUCCUUCCAUAGGAGAAAAACAAGUACAACAGCAACAUCAUUCGACAAAAGGGAUAAUGAGGAUGAGUAUUUCAUUCCAUCAUUCUUUUCUCUACUUAUAUAUCUUUCCUUCAAGCUACUUUUUUAGGGUAAAUAUAUCAUAGUAAACAUAAUUUAUGAUUUAUGGUACCUUAUACCCUUAGAAAAAUUCAUCAAUAAUUUACAUUUGGGGUUUAAAUGGUCCAAGUCCUUCUAACUUGAAUCUUAGGCUAAAGAUGAAAUUUAGAUAUUCUUCGGAGAGACUAGAUUACUCAGUUGAAUCCAGCCAAAAUCCACCCAAAUAAGACCUUCAUCACUGAAUGAGCCUAAAGUGACACAGGCAAAGAAUUUGAUUGUUAAUUGAGGGGCCAAACCUAAACUCAAUCCCUUACAAAACUAACAUUUGUUUUAUGAAAUUGAUGAAUCCUUGAAUACCCAAACAUUAGCUUACUAAACUAAAAUCUAGAUUGUUAGAUUUGAUGAGGUCCAAAUUAACUCACCAUUAUCAAUGUUUGAAAUGUAAUUUAAACAGACUCCUCACUCAAACUUAUAUAUUUAUAUCUAUAUCCAAGUCAUUAAAAUUCUUGCAAGGUUGCGCCACAUGAACGCUUACAUGCGAGCUGCACCCAAUAAUUUGUAUAUUUGCAGUUGUUUUAGCAAAUCUUUAAUCCUAGUAAAUCUCUAAUUUUUGCAUCUCUACUUCUUAUGCCUAUUUUGGCAAUAAAUUUCUAAAAUAGAACUAUGCAUAUUUUUAUGGUGUGUGUGUGUGUAUAAUUGUUUAUAUAUACAUAGAUUGAUCAACGUAUUCCACAUCAUACUUUCAAGUUAGUUUCGUCCCAUGUUUUCAAAUGGAUUGGUUUGAAAGCAAAAUUUGAAUAAUUACCGGACGCAUAAUUGACAUAGAUGGGACUUUUGAAGCAUAGUAAGAGUAUUCGGAUAGGCAGAACCAUAAAUUAAUUAGCAGGCCUAAGGCAAGAAUCAUCGCAUCAUGACUUUUUCCUUCUUUUUGGUUGGAGAGAGUAUUUCUUCCACAAGAGAAAAACAAGUACAAUAGCAACAUCAUUGACAAAAGACAUAAUGAGGGUAAAUAUUUCAUUCCAUCAUUCUUUCUCUACUUAUAUAUCUUCCCUUCAGCUUCUUUUUUAGUCUUAUGAAUACAUUCCAUGCAUACUUCGCCUUAUCGAGGAUCUUCUUAGGGUCUAGAUAAUGCUCCUCGAAAAAUAGAAGAACUUCUCCCCUUCUAGAUAUGCCAACUAAUGAAAAGCAAUUUUCAUCAACAGAACCCGCCUUUGAUCUUUAUUUGAGCUUCUUGUACGAGAAAUCAUUGUUGUAACCAUCUAUUAGCAAAAGUGAAUUGUUCUUUAUUAAUGUUCAAGCCUAAACCACCAAAAUAAGCAUAGUCACAGCACCAUAGCAUGUUCUCUUGCACUCAUUGUAGAAGGGGGCCUUGUCGUGACCUUACCUCAGGUGAAUCACUCAUGAUUUGACUAAUGGAUUAUUAAUUCUAGAGUCAACUUAGGCUCCCUGAAAUCCAUAUUAAUUCAUAACUUAUAGUUCAAGUUCUUAACAUGCAAAAUUAUUUUUAUAUAGGAGUCACUACUAAUUAAUUUAUGGUAGAUGAAUUAGAUAUCUAAGUAAAGCAACAUGAGAAUUACUUUACUUCUACGAAUUACAAAAUCUAAGGUCAGAGACUUAAUUAUACCAAUUAUCAAAGUAGUGCCAUUUCGGUGUCUAAUCUUAUAUAAUACCAUAUUUAGGCAGCCUUCUCGCGAAUUAUGAGUCUUAAGGUUUUAUUCCUAACCAGGCUAAAGGAGACAACAGUGUAUUAAAAUUCCACAAUCAAGUAAUAAUUGAAAUAGAAAUGCGCAAAAAACAACCUAGUACUUGUCUCUAAGAACAUUCAAAAAUCUAUUAUAAAGCCUUGAGGGCUUAUUCAAUUUUUGGAUGAAUUUUUUUUUUAUCAAGAAUUUUCACACAUUUUAAGAGAAAAUAAGUUAAUAACUACCUUUUAAGCUUUUUCCUAAUUUUUAGAAAAUAAAUAAAUAUUCUUUGCAAUUUUAAAUUUUUUUUAAAAUAUUUUAUAAAUAAUUAAUUUUUUAUAUCUGAAAAUAGGCACCCGGUCCGCGUAAGGACAGAACCUUGGCCUCGUCGAUGUAGGCCAUGUACAUACAUCGGGCUCUCAAGUCAAGUCCACUUAAUUGAACCCACUUCACAAAAUUGAAACCCUGCCCAAACAAGUUAGAUCCAAACCCAAUUAACUAAACCAGGCCCAAUUCGCCAAGCUACAGCUAAAGCCCGACACACCACCCUUGAAGUAAAGACGAAGCCCAAAUCACCAAAAUUACCACUUCAAGCCUAAAUGAGCCCAAAGCCCACUACUCUCCCCUCAUCAAAUUUUCCAAUCCCGCAACUGCUCCUCAACGUCGUCUCCUUCGAGCACGCCCGAAACGCCUGCGACCUCCCCUCAUCUUUCACGCUCGGUUCCCUGCUCCCGGAACUCCCCACCUCCAAUCUCUUUCUCGAUGGAGCUUUCACGUCUAUAGAUUAAUACCUAAAGCUUCACUGAACCGGAAACACUCAAAACCUUCCACCGGCAAUACUCUCACACCGCCGUCGCUAAUUCCCCGCCCAUCAGCUAUAACCAUUGCCAUGUUACCGGCCACCACCAGCCACUUACUUUCACAGCCAAUCAUGACCGGAGAAGAACGGAAAGAGCAUGGAUUUAGCUGAGACAUUUUAUCGAACACUCGGCGGGCGUCGACUGAGAGGCACCACGACAAGCAUUUGAGACAUGGGCCGGAGCCAAAUCCAUCCAUAAUCAACAAACAACGCCCAGCAUAAACAAUAUAAGCCACGAGAAACUCGGCGUGCGCCAAAAUCAGAGCCGGCGAGCCUGGGUCCGUAGAUUCAUUAAAAAUAACAAACACGCAUAAUAGAGGCGUGGGAGGGUACGACCGUGUGAUCCCUACCCGGCUCGGCAACGACGGCCGGAAGGCGAGCCCGAAGCUGAGCUCUGCGUCUCGCUUUCUCUCAGUCCCUUCCUCUGCUCACUCUCGGUUCUCGCUCUCUCCCCCGCCCCGCCCCCGGGUUCUUCCUCUCGGUCGCCUCUUUCGAAUGCUCACCCCACUCUCUUUUACAAGAAAUCUCCCCGGUGAGUCCCCCUCCCACCACCUCUCUACUCGGGACCAAGUUAGGUCCAUUUCCAGCUAAGCUGGCCUCUGCACUCGUGCCUAGCACGCCCCCUCCACCAGCCGUAGCUCUAUCUGUCGCUUGCUUUCUCUGCCUCCUACGCGCCUGCGUGAGGGAGAGAAGAAGAAAGAGACAGAAUCGUUGGAGGCCUGGGCUGAGAAGGAAGAAAAGAAAGGGCCGGGCGCAGGUGGAGAGGAAAGAAAGAAGAAGAGGCCGGACCGACCCUCUCUUGCCCUUUUCUAAAACAACAAGAAAGAUAUGUUUUAAUAAAUUCUAUUACUGUAAAUACAAAUGUUCCUGAUACCUAUAUACUAUGUAAUUUACUGAAAAUAAUUUUUGUUAGGGGCCAAGGGCAGUCCCUUAUUUUAUGAGAUAAAUAAAUAGUCAAAAUUUAUGUGUCAUAUGGUUAUAUACCUGUUAUGUUGAUACUUCUUUGAAAAAGAUUAUGCAUAAUAGGUUGAAUAUUAAUUAAUUAAUUUGAUGGGAGCUUGAGGUUUUUCAAAAUUCUAUUUCUCUUUCUCUGGUUUUCAAGAAGUGAUGAGCAAUUUUCAUGGUCACGUGCCCACUCUUAUCAGCUGGCCAUAUCAACUUAUCUUCUUCCAAGGCUUGAUGCAAAAGAAUGGAAGCAACCGCCCAUUCCUCCUCAUCAUAGGCCCUAGAUCCCCGUCUCUCUCCCUCCACAUCAAUUAAUUUCUCCACUCUUAACUAGUUCCAUAUCAACAGAAUGCAGACUUGACACUCGCUUUUCCUCACUUGCCACAAACCUCCAGCUUCAACUGCCCUUUACCAAAGCUAUCCCCCAGAAGCUCUCUACCCCUACUUGGCCUCCGUAAAUUUGCCACCGGGGAGGUAGAUAUCUCUCGGCAUUUGCGGACACGGAUCCUCUAUCUUCUACAUCGCUCUCCAUGACAAUUUGGAUAGUAGGGUUCUCAUUAAAUAGCUGAAGCUCCUUGAACCUCAUGAUUCUCCUCGGCAGAAGUAUGAGAUUUCCAGCUUUCCCGAUGCAUUCUCCUUUCAUCAUCUUUAUACCCCCAUCAAAAUAUAGAAAUUAAACUAUUAAUGUCCUCACACCACUUCCUCUGGAAAGAAUAGCACCCCAUGGAGUAAAUUGGGAUGGCAAAACUGGGCUUCGCGGGCUCAGGUUUCCAACCGAAGCUUCCUUUGAAUCUUUUCCUUUACAAAAUUAAGGGCAGCAUUUUUGGACUUGUCCUAAAUAAAAGGCGGUCCUAAUUACUUCCUAGGGUUGUUGAUAUUCCUGAUCCCAAAAAGAUUGCUUACAGCUUCUCUAGUUUCCUUUUUUGAAUUUGCACUAAAGAACAAGGAAGACUUCUGAAAAUUCACCAAUUAUGUAGAGGCUCCACCAAAAAUCUUCAAGGCAAUUCUUCAAAAUCAUGCACUUACUUGGAGUUGCUUCCUUGUAAAAAAAGGGCAUCAUCAGCAAACAGGAGAUGGGUAAGCACAGGGCCUUAUCUUUUGACCUGGAUUCCUGCAGAAGUUCCUGCAGCAGUGCUCUUGCACAGCAUUUCAACAAAACAUCAACCGCUAAAUGAAUAGAAAAAGGGAUGGCGAUUGCCCUGUCUAAUACCUCUAGAUGUGGCUAUAUUUCCAACUGUUUUGGUUCCAUAUAAAUUGAUGUUAUAAACAACAUAACAUACACACUUCAUUUAUCCAUUCUUUAUGUAUAUCACUAGAGCUCAUUUUCCUCAAAAGGUUCUCUAGAAAAUCUCAUUUGAAACAAUCAUAAGCUUUUUUCAUAUCUAUUUUAAGGGCACACUCCUCACUUUUCCCUCUGUUCUUAUUUUCUAAUAAUAAAACAGUUCAUGAGCUACUCUAAUAUUGUCCUCAAUCAACCUAUCAGCCAUAAAGGCGCUUAUUGAGGCGAGAUUAGCCCAAGUAGACAAGUUUUAAGCCGUUCACCAAAAUUUGGAGAUGCUUUGUCUAGAAAGUUGCGCGCACAAGCUAAUGGGGCGAAAUUGAGAAACAUCUUCACGAUGGGGAGACUUUAGGAGUUAAAACAGUGUCGGUAGAAUUUAAGGAAAGAGGAAACUAACCAGACUCAAAAAGAAGUUCUUCACCUAGCAGCUUGACUUAGUCCAUAAAUUUUUAGCCCAUUUUAGUUAUUUCAGCUGGAUUUGGUUCGCUAGUUUUUUUUUUCAUCCUUCCAAUGCUUGGUGCCUAAGUCUAACUUAGACUAUAUUGACGUGGUGAAUCCUUUCGAGGUAGCCACAUCAUCGAUAAAAUCUAGGCCAUCGGCUUUGGAUUUGUUCAAAAUCUUGAUAACCACUUCAUUACAGCUUUGGAGCUUUCCUUCAUGAACCAAUCCAUAUCCUCUGCUACGUAGUUUGUACUUGAACUUUUGAGUUAUCUUCUUAAUAUUAUCUUAUGGGCAAAAUGUUGUUAGUAGCCUGUAGAAACUCUGCUAUCUUUUAGGCCAUAGCUAAGUGCCUUCCGUUUCAUUUAUGAAUUAGAAAUAUCAACACAUAUGAUGCUCCGAGUAAGAAUCGUGUUAUGAUCAACUGGGCUGCGGAGAGAAUGCAAAUAUAUUAGCAUAUAAAACAUAAGAAUAUAUCAAGAAUUGCAUAUCAUUUGUUAUCAAAUGGGUAUCGUCUUUUUGUUCUGAACAAUGAUUAACGCUGAGAACUAGUUGAGCAUUCUCUAUACUUGAUUUAGAUGAUCUGGCAAGAAAAUUUAACAUUGGCUGGUUUGUACAUCAAUUUCCCGGAUGCUCCUAUCGUUCACGAGAGUAACUAGUCGAACACCUCAACAUCAAUUUCAAGUUGUGAAGCUGACUCGUGAUCACGCUCGUGGUUGAAAAGUGACGACGAGCAGGGCUGAAUCUAUCUGACUAGCUACCUCCACAUCUCGUGCCCCACGGUAAUCUUGCUCGUCCUUCGUUGGAAGCACAAGCGAUGACAGAGGCCGCACACAUGCUGAUUUCGCAAGUUCCGAACCUCAUCGCAGGUGGACACCAGGCUGCAAACGUCAGGGAACCUUUCCAACCAUCGACUUUUAAUGUCUCGUAGCUUGAACCACUUGGAUUCAAACCACCUUUGCUUUCUCUGAAGGUGUUACAUGUUACUUAAUGCGGUUUAGCAAGAAAUUCUGCGUUCAUUCGCCUUACUUGGUCUGGAGUUUCUACCGGCGAAUCUCUUCCUGCGUCAUGGCGGUUUUGUUCUUUUGCCCAUCAGUGCAUUUAAUUGGUAGUGAAUCAAAUAUGAUAAUAGCGAAUAAGAUGAUUUUAAUCUUAUAUAUCAAUCAAUACAUCUCCUAGUACAGACGGACACAGUUUGCCUGUCUAGAAAAAUGUAAGACCCCCUUUUAUGUCUCAGCAUUGAGUGAACACAAAAUUCUCAUUAUAUUUAGUGGUUGAGCUUGUACAUCAUAUUUAGGCUUUUAUAUUGUUUUAGGCUUCUGUAUGAGGUGCAUGUUUAGGACCUGUUAAGUAGAGAGGAAGAUUGAACUACUGAAGAUGAUCACUUUCUAUCUUGUCCUUAAGAUCAAAAUGAGAUGUGGAAAUUCAAGUUUGUCUAUGUCGAUCGUUGGGAUGGUUCCACUAAUUAAUAAUGCUUAAACUUCUGUGCUAACAGUCUUAUAGUUUUGGAAACUAAAAUAGUCAUUUAUUAACUAAUAUGGCUUCAUGGGAACAGUGUGUAUGGACUAGCCGAGGUCAUAGUAUCCAUAAGAUAAAUGAAUUAUAAUUAGGGAUGAAACCAAGUAACUGUAGCAAUACACCCAAGUGACAUCAAGAAUGCUUUGGAAUAGAACAGAGCAUCAAUAUCUAGUAUCCGAAAAACUGCAUGCUCCAGGAAAAUCCCAUAGGCAAAAAGCGUGAGUGUUUUAGAUUUCACAAAUCAUAUUGCUAAAAGUUUGCGAGAUCCAUUUGAGGCCUUUCGCUGGUAUUUUGACUAUAGUACGACCAUAUCUAGGGCUUACAUAGAGCAUAAUGGAUCCUGGUUCAAGUAACAUAGGUGCAAGGGAGAAAAUUCUAAAACAGAGCUUCGAUGCAGACAAUGAAUGAGACAAAUUAAGAUGCAUCUCAUCAGUAGUCAUUGAAUGCACAUGUUCUGUCUGUGCAAUGGUGGAACCGGUUUGCAUCCCUUAUGACUAUAGAAUUUUCGGUUGCCAUGGAGAUAUACUUGAUCGCAGAAUGACAGUCUUUGCAAAUGCUAAGAUUCUUAAACACCCAGAUAGGUUUUGUACUGGAGGUGCUUAUAAGGCCAAAAACAACGGUAAUUUUUUUCACUGUGCUCAAAUAUUGUUCCUUUUGUCCCUCCUCCACAUCAUGAAGAACAAAUUCAGUAUCCAGAAGAUCACCGAGUUUCUUUAUUCGACUAGCCAAUUGGUCCUGUGCAUCAUGGAUCUCCCCAGCGACAUGUCACCCAUAUAGAACUUCUAUUUUUUCACUUCAAUCCAGCUACAACCAGGUUCUUUUAUAAGAUUUUUCAGCUUCAUCCUCUUCCUGAUAUCUGCUGCAUCUUCCCAUGGACCAGUUGAUGCAUACACAUUUGAUAGCAAAACAAAAGCAGGAAGGUCAUCCGGCUCCCACUCAAAAAUCAUUGCUGCAGCUUGUUUUGCAAGUUCAACAUUGCCGUGAACUUGGCAAGCUCCGAGAAAUGUAUGCCGGACAAGUGUAUCGGCCCUGGAAAGGCAUUGAAAGUAUAUAAUCUGAAGGGCUUCAACAAGGGAGCCUUAUCUGCCCAAUAAGUCCGUGCAUGCAUAGUAUUCGAUUCUGGGCAUGAAUCCAUGUUCUAUUGAUCUAAAGUGUUUCCAUCCAUCCAUCCAUCAGAUACCAAACCCACAUGGCUACAAGAGGAUAAGACAGCAACAUAGGUGAUCUCAUUUGGCCUCACCCUGGCGUCAAGCAUUUUAUGGAAUGUGACCAGAGCUCUCGUUGCAAAUCCAUGUUUAGCAAAACCAGUGAUCAUUGAAGUCCAAGUUUUAACAUUUGUCUCUCGUCUCACGGGAAACUCGAAAAGCAGCUUCUGUGUUUUCACACCUGGAAUAUAUUGAGAUCAAACCAUUGAGAAUCCACUGAUUUGAGUCGAGCCCUUAUUUGCGUCCCCUCAACAAUAGCGCCAAUACAGGCAGCUCCACUUAAAAGGCUGGAAAAUGUAAAAGCAUUUGUCCAAUUCCUCUCUCCUCAAUCUCAUAUAGAAGUUCAUAGGCUUCAUCAGACUCCAAACUUUUGGCAUAGGCAUCCGCAUGGGUAUCAUGAGAAAUCAAAUUCAUUUCAAAUAGUGCAUCCAAAGCUUUCUGAGCAUCUUCCAUGUGGCCCGACUGGGAAUACAUGCUAAUAAGAGAAUAACCCACGUAAAUAUCAAAUGCAAAGCACAAUUUUUAUAGCUACAGAGUAUACUCGUAUCCCCAUAUCUAAUAUCACAAAUAAUUCCACAUGCCUUGAGAACACUAGCAAAUGUGAAAUGGUGUGGCCUCGGUGGAUCUUUUAUUAUUUCCCAAAAGAGUUUGAUGGCCUCCUCAUUCUCUUCAGUUUGCACAUGUCCUGUGAUUAUUGGUGUCCAAGACAUCACAUCGUGAUCUUGCAUCCGAUUAAGCACCUUUCUCAAAUCAUGAAUCGAUCCACUAGCCACACACUUCACAUACAUGUCCACCAAGCUGCAUCCAACACAGACAUCUGAAGCCAGUCCAGACCAUAUGAUACAGGAAUGCAAUUUCACCCUAAGGGAUAUUAGCUCCAACCUCGAACAUGCCGACAAAACAACUGUAAGUGUAAAUCUAUCUGGCACAGCCCACUCGCCAGCAUAUCCAAAAACAAAUCAACAGCAUUCUUUGGACCACCCAACUGAAUACAUCUUGUCAUCAUCGAAGUCCAUGCAACCACAUUCCUCUCGGGCAUUUUCUCAAACAACUUAUGAGCUGAAACUAAAUCAGCACUACCCUUUGAAAACAUGUCAAUUGAUGCACACCCGACACACGCAUCAGAAUCAAGAUAGCCGCUUUUGAUUAUAAACUCGAAACUCUAUCACCAGUUGAUAUAUUCGUCGGACCCGAACAAGCCGAGGGAAAAAACCCAUCUUCAAGCAAAUGAGCUAAAGUAUCGACUGCUUCAAACGCGAUGUGGUUAUUGGCAUAGCAAGAGCUCAUGGAACUCCAAGAAACCAAAUCCCUAUUAUUACCCAUGUCCCAAAAAGUCCUCUCCGCCUCAGCCUAGUCAUUGAAUUUUGAGCAGAGACUGACGAGCGAGUUGAGAAUCACCGAGUCGGGCUCAAGCUGAGACGGAGCGAGCGCGCGAUGGACGCGCUUCCCGAGCGCAAACCCUCGGGAAGGAAUGCAGGACUUGAGGAGGAGAGAGAAGGCGAGGAGGUCGCGACAUGAGGUCGGGGUGGAAGAUUGCUCCGGGGAAUUCGGAGACAUCGAGGUGAGUGACCAGGCGGCGGUCGAGGGGCGAGAGAGAGAGAGAGAGAGAGAGGGGGGGGACUCAUUGCAUUAUACAAGUCGAGGUUGGUCUGAAAUAACAGGAAACAAGAGAUGAAAACAAUAGCCAAAGAGGCAAUUCUUCUGUAAAACACAGGAUGCUACAAACGCUGAAAUCACGAUUUACAUAGUCAAUUAUGCUUCGGAUGGAACUACUUUAUUUGGCAUUCAUUCAAACAGGAAAGAAAAAGAAAACCAUACAAUGGACGAUUCCGUAAUCUCAUUGCUAUUCUGAAAUCGGUAUCCUUCAGAAAUUGUUGAAGCACUUGAUGUAGCUGAGAAUGAUUCAAGUUCUAUUUCAGCGUUAUCAUCAAACGGCUUCUCGGACGGAUACAGAAGCGGUUUUGGAGGCAAUUGCAGUUUAUCAAUAUCUCCUUCAAGCAUGUUUAGGACUUUGCUCAUUGAUGGCCGAUCAUCAGGGAUUAAUUGUAUACACCAAAGGGCAACUAUUACCAUCUUCCUUGUUAUCUCCCUAUCCCCUUCCACUUCUUCCAUUUCAACCUCGCUUUCUUUACUGAGUUGAUCAUAGACCCACAAAGGGAAAUAGAUUUGACUUGAACGCUCAACAUUCUUUGCAUUUUUCCUCCUAUUUGCCAUUUCCAUUAGCAGCAUCCCAAAACUAUAAACAUUGGCUUUAUACGAGACACCACCAAUGUCCUUGUAGAAUAGCUCAGGAGUCAUAUAUCCUAAAGUUCAUCUUGCUGCAGUCAACAAUACGAUGCUGUGGUCCAUGGGAUAAAGUCUUGCAAGUCCAAAGUCAGAAACUUUUGGAGUGAAAUUUUGAUCUAGAAGAAUAUUGUGAGGCUUGAUGUCAAAGUGCAAAAUUUGCAUUUCACAUCCUCGAUGUAAAUAUUCUAUCCCCCUAGCCACACCAAGAGAGAUCUCAUACAUUUUCUUAGAAUCAAGAGAAUUGUCACCAUCUUUAGAGAAAAUGUGCUUAUCCAAAGAUCCAUUCGACAUGAAAUCGUACACGAGAGCUUGCUUCGAGUUGUUAAAGCAAUAACCAACAAGUUCCACCACGUUAACAUGGUGGAUCUUUCCAAUAGUAGCAACUUCGCUUAUAAAUCUUGGCCAUUAGAUUUUGAUUUGUUCAAAAUCUUAACAGCAACUUCAUUGCCACUUCUAAGUACUCCUUUGUACACAGAGCCAUAUCCUCCUUCCCCUAAUUUGUGUUUGAAUUUUUUUGUGAUUUUCUUGAUGUCUGAGUAAGUGUAUCUUAUAGGUGAAAAGUUGUUAUGAGCUACUAGGAAUUCUUCGAUGUUUUCAUCCAUUGCUUGGUGCCUUCUCUUCCAUUUAUAGACUAAAAAUAUCAACACACAUGGAGCUCCCAGCAUGAAUUUUGCCACGAGGAAGUUUUCUGUGGAAAAAACUGCGGAAAAAUUUGUCCAUAGAUUAGCGUAGUGUAAUAUAGAAAGUCAUCCUUUGCUGCUUGAGGUUUUCAGAGUUGGGAAGAAUAAAGGACUAGUCAUACCUAACAAAUAGGGGAGAUGAGGAAGUGCAUGUCACGCCCCGAACCCCGAGCGCGUGCACAUCCCACUGCGGUCGAUCAAAUAUGCGACAUCCCAAGAUACGUCGCCGACCCAUUCAUUUUAUUACGCAUGCGGAAGCGAAACAAAUCCCCUGACAAAAUUUAACUUGGGAUAGAAAAGCAGGCAAUCAAUCACAAUACCAAACACAUAAGUUUAAAUACAACUCUGGAUUGUCUACAAAAUAGACCAGCUCGACAAAAGGGGAACCGUCCUAAAACCAACUAGCAGGACACGUUCAUUGAUACUUCAAUCUCCACCUUUCCAGACUUAGGGCUUCGGGUCCUCCACGACCGCCAUCUAGGCACCUGAAAUUUUAAUCCCACAACCGGGAUGAGACGAUGUCUCAGCAAGUUCAACCCCCUAAACCCCUAUUAGAAAGAAAAUACGUCCCGGGUGGCCUAGUCACACAACAUAGAGGACUUACCUCGCCUCGGUUCUUUCCUGCAGGUUAGCACAAUUCAUAUCAUUCAAUCAUAUGCAGUAAUAAGAACUUAAACAACCGAAACGCAUUCACUUUCAUAUAACCAACAAUCGCGGGGGUCCUGAUUAUAAGACUAAAUCAUUAUGACACGUCCCAUUCCAUGCCACAUAAUUCCGUCCCAUAAUCCGACACAUCAACAACACUCAACAUGCAUUCCAAUUGUUAUUCACUGCCACACAAGGGCAUAGCCUACUCGCAGUUCGGCUAUCUACUGGCAUAUAGCCAGGCAUCGCCUCCCCCCCCAUGGAGCGCGGCUUCGUCAGUACGUCGACGGCAUUCCCGAAGGAGCAUCGUCUCCCCCCUUGGAGCACGGCUUCGUCUCUACGUCGACGGCAUUCCCGAAGGAGCAUCGAUCCAGUCGGCCCAGCCUCUACUGCGAUCGGCACCACGUCACUCUCUUAACAGCAUUUCUAAAAGAACAAAGGUCCAGUCGGCCUAGCCACUACUGCGACCCGAGCCACGUCACUCUCUCGACGGCAUUUCUAGAAGAACAAAGGUCCAGUCGGCCUAACCACUACUGCGACCCGAGUCUUUCAACCAGCACACAACAAUUCAAUAAUUAAUUGCACAAAUCAUCACUCAAUUUGUAAUAUCUAAUCAUCAAAUUCAUAAUCUGAAUACACAGCAGCGAUCAGCACAAAAUUCUGAGAAUUUAGGGUCCCAACUUAAUUUUCGGAAUUUAUUAAAUAAUUAAAUUUAUUCCGAAAAUAAUUAAAUAAUAAUAUCCACAGUUUUCGAAAUCCACACUCAAUUUAAAAUAUCCAAUCAUCAAUUUCAAAAUCCGAAUGUACCGUAGCGACCGGCACGAAAUUCUGAGAAUUUAGGGUCCCGACCAAAAUUUUCGGAAUUUAAUAAAUAAUUAAAUUUAUUCCGAAAAUAAUUAAAUAAUAAUAUCCACAGUUUUCGAAAUCCACACUCAAUUUAGAAUAUCCAAUCAUCAAUUUCAAAAUCCGAAUGUACCGUAGCGACCGGCACGAAAUUCUGAGAAUUUAGGGUCCCGACCAAAAUUUUCGGAAUUUAAUAAAUAAUUAAAUUUAUUCCGAAAAUAAUUAAAUAAUAAUAUUUUAAUAAUUUCGAAUAAUAAUAUAUUAUUAAAUUAUUUAAUGAUUUCGGGAUAUUUAAAUAAAUCAAAAGUAAAUUCCUUUAUGUCACAUCAAUGUUUAUAUUAAUAUAAACACCCACUUAACUUUAAAUUAAACACAAUUUAAGUUAAUCAAGCAUAUUAAUAUAAUCUACACUUAAAUAAAUUAAACUAACCACCUAAUAACACUUAACAUAAACUAAACACACCUAAAGCAUCAUUAACCCUCUAAGCGAGGUUUAGUGAGUUAAACUCACCGGAUUAGCGAGCCGAGCGAACCAAAACGACGGGGACGCCGAGGAGAACAACUUUCCUCAAAGCGGGCCAAGCAUCCGGGCUCGGGAAGGCGGCCAAAACGGGCCAAACAUGGGCUGCCAUACCCAUUUUCUGGGUUGCUGAUCGGGGCCGAGAGGGAGCAGAUCCGGCGCCGGUUCGGGCGGCCAAGGGCGGCGGAGGCAAGGCGAAGCUCCGACGGGCUAAGGCGGGGGCGCACGGCGGCUCACGGUGGCUGAUUCGUGACCUAGGCUGGUCGGACAGCCUCCCAAACGUGAAGACGAGCGAGGACGACGGCGAACGUGGGAAGAGCAGCGGCGCGACGGCAGCGAGCGGCGAGCUCCGGUGACGGGCGACGAGCGGCGAAGGAGGCGGACGGCAAGGGGCUGCUUCGGCUUCUUCCUCUGCAAUUUUUUCUGGUCUUCGCACACCAACCAUGGAGGAAUCGCACGGGAGAGGAAGAAGAGAGGGAGGAGAGAGAAGAAGGGAGGCCAAUUUCUUUUCCUUUUUCCCUUUUCUUUAAUCCAACAAAUUGGCCCACCACAUGACCUCAUGGGUGACAUCACACUCCACUCACCCAAUCCCCCACAACCUUUUCCAAUGGUUGCAAAUCUCAUUUUCCGCCGGGGCAUAAAAUUUUGUACAACCAAUUCUUCAAUUCCCCUUGAUUCUCUUCCAAUUGAAUCAAAUUGAAGUUCAUAAAAUUAAUCCAAUGUCACCACACUUCAAUUCACCUAAUUACUUGACCAUAGACCAUCUUGAGUCCCAAAAGCACAACCAAAAGCGGGCCUACCAAUUUUCCAAACCAAAUUAACCAUACCUUGAUUAUUUUGCCGAAAAACUCGGCUUGCAUGAAAAAUCAUCCAAAGAUGAGUCCAUACUCCUAAAAUGAUUUGUGACACACCCAGACUUUCAAUUUCUGAAUUCGAUCUCAAUUCCACGGUUAAUUUCACUUUGGCACGAUACUAGCGCGGCCCAACCUACCGAGUAGCCUUUAGAAAUUUUCAUGCAUUUGACCUGUGGUUGAUCAUCUCAAGCCACAAUGUACAUCUUUGAAACAUUGGCGACAUUCGGUUGUCGGGGAAAUCUCAAGGUUUCAAAUACGAACACAGGGUACCCAAUCGAUAGAAAAGUCGGUCCAGUGUCGAUCGACAAGGAUUAUGCGAUCCGGUGGAAUCACCCACACUCGAUCACAUGCCUUUGUCGAGUCGACCUAUCUCCGGUCUCUAAUCGAUUUUUAUUUGUGCCGUAAUGACCCUUGCAGAUUAGCUCGGUCGAAAUGUCGCUUCCUGGUCAAAUUCUCGAGUCUGAUGCAUUAGAAACUCUUAACAGCUUUACCCGAUAGACUAGUUUUCACAUGAGUGGCCGACUCAAGGAAAAGAACUAUAUGCGUGCCAACGAAAUGCCCGUCUCAAUUUAUUGAAAAUAGAAUCGGAAAAUCGGGAUGUCACAGUGCAUAUCUCGCAACUAUCGCCGCCAUAGAAGUAUCUGUAGAAAGCAAGAAGAAUUUGUUCGAGAUGACUGAAAUGAUUACAAAGUGUUGACAACCAAUCAAUGGAGACCUAAGCUUAUCAUUUUAGCGGUAAAAUAUAAAAUGAAUACUCGUUAAGCUAUGACCAAGUCAAAGAUAAAUUGAUACGAUCACUGCAUAGUGCAAUGACAGACUUUUAUUCAUUAAAAGUUGCAAGUAGAGAAGUCUAGAAUAAAGAAGAGUGACUGAGUUUCACUCUCCUAUAAUUAUCGUAGAAUAAUCUCUUUUAUAAAAAAAAAAAAAAAAUGACUUCGCUUUUGUUCCCCUAGAUGUACCAAGGGCGAGUUUGUUUAUAUUUCUGUUCAAAAAUUAUUCCGGGAAAUAGAAAUAGAAAAUCUAUUUCUAUUUCUGGGGAACAAUUUUUGACUAGAAAGACGCGUUUGGUAAACUUGUUUUGGGAAUAAAAAAUGAAUAGAAACAUGUUUGGUAAAUUUAUAUUCUUUUUUUUUUAAUUUUUUAAUAUUUUUAUUUUAUUUUUCCUUUUUUUUCUUUCUUUUUUCUUUUUUUCUUCUUUUGGCCGGUCACCGGCCUCAGCCAUGGCCGGCGACUGGCCGACGAGGGCCAGUGGCCUCGCCCAGCCACGAUGAGGCUCAAGCUGGAUCUGGGCGAGGCUGAGCUCGCGGAGCCUCGCCCCGUGCUAGCGAGGCUUGGCUGGCGCGAGGUGAGGCUUGGCGAGCUCGGGCUCGCCCAAAUCCGGUGAGGCCGAGCCUCACCGGUGGCUGGGCGAGCUUGGCCUCGCUGGAUCUGGGCGAGCUUGGGCUCGCCCAGCCAAGGUGAGGCCAAGCCUCGCCAGGGGCCGGCGACGCUCCGGCGAAGUUGCCGGCCCUCGACGGCUGGUCGCCGGCCAUGGCCAAGGCUAGCGACCGGCCAAAGAAAAAAGAAGAAAAAAAAAGAAGAAGAAAAGAGAUGAGAGAGAAAUGUUCUUCAAAAGUGUUUUUGGAACAAAAAAAUAAUUUUUUUUUGGUUUCUUAUUUCUAUUCUAUUUUUGUUCCUGGAAUAAAUAAAUAGGUUUUGAACAAAAACGCAAACAAACGUGUUUCUACUCUUUUUUUGUUCCUGGAACAAAAAAAGAGAAAAUCCGUUCAUGAAAAAAAAAAAAAAACACAAAUAUGCAGGCCCCAAGUGAUUAAUUAUGAUUUCCAAACGUCAUCUAACAUAUGCGCAAUUUAUUCUCCUGCAUGAUAAUAACCACCAUAUAAGUGACACAAGCUACUAUCAAAUCAAAUAUUUUUUCCCAAAUCAACUAUGAAGUAAUUGAAUCUAGAAAAGCUUCAUGAGUUGUAGAACAAUAAAAGAGCUCAAUCUACUCGGAAAUCUUAUUUAACUUUUUUAUUUCAGUGGUGUGGUAAUUUUUUUUAUUGGAUAUUUAAAGAAAUUAGCGACACAAUGUGUGGAUCCCACAUAUGAUGGUAUCCAAUUGAAACUUACCAUGUUGCUGGAUAAGUAAAUUUUGAUAAGAUCUCUUCAUAGAGCUUGCAUUUAAGAAAAGGAGGAGGAAGUAAAGAAAAGCGGAAGGGAAAGUCGCUUACUGGAGUCAUAGAUACUGCACCUCCCGCGGUAGUUGAAACCCAAGAUGCAAAAUUCAGCUAGUCCAAUACUUGACGAACUCUGAUAGUAGGAUAAAAUAAAUCCCUGCGCGAUCCCGUUGUGGAUGUCCUUGUAGUUGCAUGAUGAGCACACACGAUGAGACUGAUCCCUUUCCCACCCAAAGAAUAAGUCUGACGCAAUUGUCCCCGCGGUUAUAGUGCAAGAAUCCUCGAUGUCCGAUGCUUUAAAUACAAGAGAAGCGUAUGAGUACACUUUCGUCUGGGGAAAAUUUUGAGGCGUGCCGGCAGAGUAUGCUCCCUCGAUGCACGGUUGGGUAUCAACAUACCGAUUAGAAGCAACAGGCUGUGAGCACUCCACAAAGACCACUCGCGUUUUAGGAUAAAUGUAGAGAACACUUCCAAUUUCGGGCCUCGCCAACCAAUAACGAGGGUGGGAUGAGCAAUUACCCUCUUGCAGGCCAUCGUCAACCACCGUUAUGUGACCACGGAAGUUAGAUUUGUUGCGAUACGAAUUGUAAUAGAUUGACUUCACAUAAUAUCUACCAGCUUGAAGAUAUAGAACCGUGCGGUUAUUUUCACAAACUAGCUCAUACUUAGAGUGACCGCAGCUUUUUGGAUUGCUUUUCAAUCGAAAGGGAUAGCUUAUGUUACGGAUUUCACCACAAGAUGAAGCGGUGCAUAAAUGAUUUUUCUUCGCACUACAAUAAUAGCAGAACUUGUAAUAUGAACAAAAGCACACGGUACAUACAUACGGAGCCGAGAGAUUUGGUCAUCUCUCCACUGGUCGAUGCAAGAAUGGAGGUUUUAGCUUGGAGAUUUUGGUGGAGGCUCAACAAAGGCAGGGAUUAUUUAUGAUCGGAAAGAUCAGUUGGGGGGUCAUCUGUCAUUAAAUUUCCAAGCCAAGUAACACGAAGUCAAGUCAAGGAAAUUAACUUGUGUGGACCAAUUGAAGAUUCCAUGAGUGGAAAUUAUGCAGGGAUCGUUUUGCACGUGGUCAAGCUCACAUAACACGGUAGUGAAUUAAUUUAUGGAUAGCUUUCACAUUGACUAGGAAGGAAGCAAAAAUCAACAAGAUGCAUCACAGUAACUUGUGGAUCCUUCUUGGCUACUUCACUUAUGAAAUCUUGAUUCUUAGAUUUUGGUUUAUUCGAAGUCUUAAUAACAACUUCGUUGCCAUUUCGAAGUAUUUCUUUAUAUACAUAAUCAUAUCCUCCUUCACUCAACCUGUGGUUGAAUUUUUUUUUUUUAAUUAUUUGAAUAUCCGAGUAAAAAUAUUUUAUAGUUAUAAAUUUGUUAUGAGCUUAUAAAAAUUCUUUUGAUGCCGUUGUCCAUUGCUAGAUGUCUUCUCAUGCACUUAUAGAUUAAAAUUAUCAACACACAUGGAGCUUUGAGUACGAAUGGUGUUGUGCUUCUACGAGCUGUAAUGAGUGUUCCACAUAAAUUAGCAUAUAUAUAUAAAAUCCGUAUUGCGAUAAAAGUACUGCAUAUAAUUUGCUAUCCAUUCAAUUCGAUGUUAGACAUGACUGUAAAGUGCAUAGAAGUUCUGCAUAUCAUUUGCUAUGCAUUUACGAAUAUAUUGCACUUUGAUUUCCCUAGCAAAUAAAUGUCCUUCAAACAGAAUUCGACCAAUUUGCCGAUCAAAAUGCCCAUGAAACCUUCACUUGACAUGACAUUACGUGUAACUUCACUUGAAGCCACACCAUUGUGUCAACAUUUCCUAAGGAAAUUGGUUAGAUUAUGAUAAGAGUGUAUUAAUUGAAAGUAAAUUAAAGAUCAUUGUGUCACGUGAAUGAAAUUAAAGGGCAGUGAACCUAUACUGAAGCAAAGGUUGACAGUCUCAAUUGAAUGUAUCCUCGCAUGUUUCGUAGCCCAUCCUAUUGAAAUCCAUAAUCACUGGGAUUCGCCCCAGUGGCUACCCUUCCAACAUGGAAGGGGGAGGUGAGGGGUUCAAAUCCCCACCUUCUCAGGGGGGGAUGGGGUGGGGAGGCGUAAGUUUCAGAAGUGGGUUUCGACUCCCACGCCCUGCAAGAGGCAGGACAAAAGUCUGAAAGUAAGUGUAGAGUAGGAAUAGAGUAGGAUUGACAAAAAAAAAAAAAAUCCUAUUGAAAUCCAUAAAGUAAGUGAGAAAUUGAUUUCGUUAAAACAUGACUUUAUAGAACGAUCCAAGAGAAUCAAUUACCAAGAUUAAGUCAAAUCUGAGUCCGUCAACAUACUUAAUUGAAUUCACCCUCACUCAAAAGUGUAAAUAAAUGAGCCAUGAGCCAACUAAAAUAUAUUAAUCACUCAACACCAUACCACUUUUUUGAUGUGAGGCUUUUUCUAACAUUACUUACACGUAUAUCUCGAUAAUGAGCAGAUUUCAAAUUUAAAGUUUUUACAAAACUUUGUUUUAUGCUUUGUAAAAGAAAUAAUGAAUAGUACGACUCGACAAUAAGUUCACGCAAAUUCAUUAAUAGUUUACAUUUCUUUAAAAAGAAAAAAUUGAGAGUCCCAGGUGCUUUUAAUUUAAAUCUUAGGCCAUAGAUGGAAGAGUGACCGAUUUACUCAGCCGAUUCCAACCUGAACCCGGCCGAAGAAGACCUUCCUCACCGGAUGAGCGCAACAUACUGAAACCAAAGAAUUGAUACCAGAUUGAGAGGCCAUCCAAAACUCAUCCGACAACAAAACUAACAUUUCUUUUUUCCGAAGAUUGGACAAUAUUCAAAUAUCCAAACAUUACGUUCCGACUUUAGAUCAUUAAAUUUGAUGGGAUUCACAUGGGGAUGGGAGGAGGAAGCACCCCGGAGAACAAAGCCCUUAAUUUAAAGACUAGACUACAAACGAUAAGCGAAGUAAUUAUCGAUUCCGUACCCAUUCAUUCGUGGAAGGACAAUAAUAGAGUGCGGGACACCUGGAGUGCCAUAACUUGGCACGCCGGGACACUUAAGUGCCAUAACUUUAAAAUGGUACACUUAAGUGCCAUCAUCGGAGUAAAAUGGGACACUUAAGUGCUACUCCGGCGAAAAUCCGGCCAAAUGGCUGACGUGGCGACUUUCCGGCGAGCUCGGUCCCAAACGGCGUCGUUUUGCACGCUGACGUGGCGGAGAAAAUGCAAAAACGACGCCGUUUCGCGUCUACGUGUAAAUAAUAGUAUAUAAAUUAAUUAAAUUAGAUUUAAAAUAUUCAAAAAAUUUAAAAAAAAAUAAGAAAAAUUUUAAAAAUUUUAAAAAAUUAAGAAAAAUUUUAAAAAUUAAGAAAAAAUUUAAAAAUUAAGAAAAAUUUUAAAAAUUAAGAAAAAAUUUAAAAAUUAAGAAAAUCUAAAAAAUUUAAAAAAUUAAGAAAAAUUUUAAAAAUGUUAAAAUUUUUAAAAUUUUUAAAAAUAAGAAAAAUUUUUAAAAUUUAAAAAAUUAAGAAAAUUUAAAAAAUUUAAAAAAAAAAUUUAAAAAUUUUAAAAAAUUUUAAAAAUUUUAAAAAUUUUAAAAAAUUAAGAAAAUUUUAAAAAAUUAAGAAAAUUUUAAAAAAAUUUAAAAAAAUUAAGAAAAUUUAAUUUGUCCCCUAUAAGAAAAAUUAAGAAAAAUUAAGAAAAUUUUUUAAAAAAAUUAAAAUUAUAAAAAAUUAUAAAAAAGUGGGGAGUGGGAGGCCGAAUGGGGUGGCUCCCUCACCGCCGCCACCUCCGCCGCCGCCGCCUCCCCCCCCCCCUUUUUUUAAUUUUUUAAUUUUUUUAAAUUUUCUUAUUAUUAUUUUUUAAAUUUUUUAAAUUUUUUAAAAUUAAAAUUUUUUAAAUUUUAUUAUUUUCUUAAAUUUUUUAAAUUUUUUUUUAAAUUUUUUAAAUUUUUUAAAUUUUUUUUUAAAUUUUUUAAAUUUUUAAAAUUAAAAUUUUUAAAAUUAAAAUUUUUAAAAUUUUCUUAUUUUUUAAAAUUUUUUAAAAUUAAAACUUUGAAUUUUUUUUAAUUUUUUUCUAAUUUUUAUGCUGAUUUGGAGCUCCGGCGAGCCACGUAGGCAAAAAAUAAUAAUAAAAUAUUGCCACGUAGGAUUUCUGGCAAGGGUCGCCGGAGGUGGCACUUAAGUGUCCCACUCGAAAAAAAAAGUGGCACUUAAGUGUACCGUUUUGAAGUUAUGGCACUUAAGUGUCCCGGCGUGCCAAGUUAUGACACUUGUGGUGUACUUCUGCCGACAAUUAAUAUAUUAGCCUCCGCGGAAGGACGGCUCUGUAAAGGAUGCACCUCCGACUUUUUAUCUAUUUUGAGGUGCUUUUCUUCCCUCAACUUGUGACUCUUCACAGACGGAAGGAGAGAAAAGACAUGAUUUUUUAGAGGAACCUCAAAAAAAUUUAAGAAGUCGGCGCAUUUGUUUUUGCCUCACUAAAAGCAAAAGGCAACUUAUUACUUUCCAGUCUAAUGUUAAAAUACUACUCAAAUUUUUUUAAAAAAAAAUUAUGAAAAAAUUAUACCCAGAAUUAUGUGUCGAUGUUUUCUCAAGAUGAAAAUUUCAGACACUUAAAAGAGUUAAAAAGAACUGAACGAGCAAAAAGUGUUUCCGUAGUCUUUGCACUGUACUUAUCUUUUGACCAAACCAAGGAAGCACGAGCUAGAAACUUUCCUCCGCGGUACAGGCUUUAACUUAUAUGUAGCUGAUGAAGGCUUCAUUGCCUAUCGCGUUAUGGAGAUGCUUGUGUGGUGAAAACAUACGAUUAAAACAUGCCCAUGUCAUCAUGGGUGAUGCUGCAACAUUCCUCAAUUACUGAUGCAUUUGCAUCUAUUGCAUCUCGUAUAUACCCGCUUUUUUGAGAUACUUUACAAGAUUUGUCCUGAGGAGUAUGCCCCGUCGAUACAUGAAGAGUCGCAACAGGUCUGGGACACUUCAGAAAGACCACUGAUUUAACAUAAAACAUAAAGUUGGAGUUCAUCGAUGAAUAAUGAGGAAGAGAGGAGUGAUUACACUUGUGCAAUCCAACAUCAAGCAUGAGGAUAUCACUAGUGACAUGGUAAUUAUUUCCAUAGAUGAAUUUGAUAUUGCACUUCGUAUGACUAUUUUCACACGCUAGCUCAAUUCUUGAGUCACCACAGACUUUGGGAUCGCUUUUCAAUUGCAAGACAGCGCUUAUCUUGUGAACAUUGCCACAAGAUGAAGCUGAACAUGAUCUAUCAUAGCUGGCGUUACAAGUACAUGCCCCUAGUAGCACGACAAGAAAGACCAAUGAGACAAGGUAGGUGUGUGGAAUUGAGGGGGAAAUCAUGUUCCUCUCAGCCUGUGGGCAAUUGAAAUUUGGGGCUCGGUAUGUUGGGAAGAAUUAAUGCGGAUCGGAUGUGAGAGAGAGAAGUUGGAUACAAAGACUUGGGGUCGUCUAUUGAAAAAUCCAUCUCAACCAAACAAAACAAAAUCGAUCAAGUCAAAAACGUUAGAGGAGUAGUGAGUAGGACCCAACAUCAUCAUCAUCUCUUGCUAGCAAGAAAACAACCCUUUUUUUUUUUUUGGUCUAAAAAAAACAUCACAAUUGACAACCCAUAUAUUUAGCCAUCAUAUGACAUCAUUUCAUAUUUUUGGAGAAUUUUUCUUAGAUAAUUGAAGUAUUUCACAUUUUCCGAGUAAUUUAUGAUGUUAAUGGGUUUCUUUUUUCUAAGAUGACAAGGAAGCCGUCUUAGGAAUCAAUGCAGACCUUGAAUCAAGUGAAUCCAUGUGAAUUAUGAUUAUAUGGAUUCUAGUAGUUAAGAAUUGAACAUAUUCAAUUCAAAGGAAAAAGGAAAAUGUUAAGAAAUAGAAAGAAUUAUCCAAUCUAUUCCCCCGUUAUAGAAGAAAAUUUCCCGAAAGUCUUUAAAAUAAAAGAGUUAAAUUUUGUUAGUUCCCUCGCUAUCUUUGGGAAGAAUCUUAAGUCACCGAAAACAAAAGGAGGUAGGGUUCACCAAGAAAGGUCAAUUGAUGUGACCUUUGGCUAGUUAUUGAUGUAAGCAAUGAUGAACAAAGAUUUAGGCUGAGGGGUAGUGAAACUUUUGACGAAAUAUGGAGUCAAAUUUCACUUUAUUCAAGAAUUUUCAAUAAAAUUAUAGUGUCAUUAAUAAAUUUAAGAAAAUACAAGUUCAAUUCAAAAUUUUAUAUAUUUUGUUCUUGAUUCUUUAUAGAAAUCUACGUAAGUAUUGGGACAAGAGAGUGCUUUUUGCUUGAUGUCUCUCGGUUAUAAUUAUGUCAAAUAUUGAAGUUUGUUUUUUAGCUAUAACUUUUCCACUAUAAUAUUCAAUUAAUUAAGGUUGGCUUCAUCCUUAUUUAAUUUUUAAAAAAAGAUUUACUACAUGACAUAUAUUUCGCAUACAAGGCAUGUAUCUAAUGUUAAACUAGAAUAACAAUUUCUUACACAAAGAAUUAUAUGAAGAAAUAGAUAAUACAAUAGACUUGUUAGUACAUAUAAAUAUGAUGAGAAUAUGUCAUCAGUCUACAUACCUGCAAUUUACAGAUUUGCCUAUUGAGUAUAGCAUAUCGCAAUUUCCAUUAAGCAAAUUGACCCUGAUUUUAGUAGAGUUUUUUUUUUUUUUUAAAGAAAAAAAUUGACCAUGAAAUUAAAGAUGCGGUGAAUUUCUAUAUACUAAUUUGUAGAUUAUUUUCAAGGGGAGGCGAUUCACUUAUAAUUGAUUAUUUCGUAUGUGUCUAAAUUCAUGUAAGAAAAUUUGGGGGGAGGAAAUUUGCCGCCGAUAUAGGUAUUUAAGCCAGUUGAGGAAUUUUCAGUAAAGUACUCUACAACCUCGUUAAUUAAAAUUGCCUUAGCUGAAUUAUAAUUUUUAAGAGGAAAUUGUCAUUGUUCUUUUUUAAUUUUACUUACCAGUAGUUUCAUGUUAAUUUUUAAAACGGAAUAUGAGUUUUUCCAAUAUGAACUUCAUAGAACUGAUUCAUCUAAGACCUUCUUCUUUUUUAUCUUCAUAAAACUUGUUUUUCGUGCAAACAGAUGGUGUAUACUUUUUGUAAAGCAUAGACAUGGAUAUUUUCUCUGAAAAUAAAUCCAUGAGUCGAAAUCAGCAGUUAUUAACAUCGAUAAUUCAUAUGCUGUAGGUAUCAUGAUAAGGAGCAAGAUCGUAGGUUAUUAUUAGCUUUUAAUGGCAAUACCCUAAAUCACGUAAUGAGGGAGGAAAUGUCCCAAUGUCUGUCCCCUUCCCCUACCGUUUUUGUCCUUACUCUGUUACUAAUUUCUCAAGUUCCGAACCUCAUCGUAGGUGGUCACCAGGCUGCAAACUUCAGGAUACCUUCAUCGACUUUAAUGGCUCAAAGUUUGAACCACUUGGAUUCAAACUGUGUUUACUUUCUCUUAAGGUGUCAUGUUAUUUAAUGUUGUUUAGCAAGAAAUUAUGCGUCAUUCCCCUUAUUGCUUGAUCUGGAGUUUCUACCGGUGAAUCUCUUCUUGCAUCGUGGCAGUUUUGUUCUUUUGCCCAUCAGUGCAUUCAACUGGUGAUGAAUCAAAUCUAAUAAAAGCGAAUAAGAUGAUAUUAAUCUUAUGUAUCAAUCAGUACAUUUAGUAUAGACGGACACACUUUGCCAUUUAUAGGACGCUCCUAACUUAGCUUUUGGCAGCGAUUUCAUUCCAAUUUGUGUUCUCCAAACCAAGAUUGUUCAGUCAUUAAAAGUGUUUAAUUUUUUUUACCCUGUUUUGGGAAGAUCCUUUGUGCUUUAUCCAUUUCUAGGUAUCUGAAGCAAUCGAAACAAUUGUGCAAAAAUGUACAUUGUUUUUUGAAAGGUUAAUACCCUGAAAAACCCCAAAUUGAUACAUUUGUGACAAAUUUACCCCAAACUAUUUUUUUGACCACCAAAAACCCCAAACUGGUAUGCCUUUGACAAAUUUACCCCCAAACUAGUACACUUAUGACAAAUUCACCAUCUGUUAAUUUUCGUUAAAUUUUAUUAUCAAAUUAUUAAGUUAAAUGACACGUGACAGUUGACUGGUAUACCAAUUUAGGAUUUUACACCCUGUUUGUCACAGUUUACAAUUUUUGUGAUUUUUUUGUAGUAUUAAUCCAAUUUAGCAUAGUGUAUAUUUGUCAUAAAUUUACCAUUUUGGGGUUUUUUGCAGUCGAAUAAAUUAGUUUGGGGUAAAUUUGUCAUAAAUGUACCAGUUUAUGGUUUUUUAUAGUCAGUUGAGGUAAAUUUGUCACAAGUAUACAAGUUUGGGNNNNNNNNNNNNNNNNNNNNNNNNNNNNNNNNNNNNNNNNNNNNNNNNNNNNNNNNNNNNNNNNNNNNNNNNNNNNNNNNNNNNNNNNNNNNNNNNNNNNNNNNNNNNNNNNNNNNNNNNNNNNNNNNNNNNNNNNNNNNCUACUUAUGCUUAGCCCUGAUGAGCAACUUUUUGCGGCUUCUGUUCAGGAGUACCCUCGCUAAUUAGGCACGAGGUGAGGGCUAUCCGUCUGCGGAUUUCUGAGUAAAGCGGAUAUCACCUAUUCCUUAUCAACGUAGUUGUCUAGUAGAAUGUUUGUUUAGUAGGGAAACUCAUGCCGAGGGGACAACAACGAGGAACAAAAUGCCUGUCUGAAAGAAAUGCAAGACACCAUCUCUGUCUCAGCAAUGAGGGAACACACAAAUUCUCAUUAUAUUUAGGGAUUGAGCUUGUACAUAUUAUUUAGCCGGUUAUUUUGUUUUAGGUUUUUGCAUGAUGUGCAUUUUUGGGACCUGUUGAGAGGAACAUUGAAUUACUGUAGAUUAUCACUUUCUCUCGUCCUUAAGAUCAAAGUUAGAUGUGAAAAUUUGAGUUUGUCUAUGUCGAUCGUUGAGGUCUUUAAACUAAUUUAUGAUGUUUAGACUUCUGUGGUGACAAUCUGAUUAUGUAGUUUUCAAAACUAAAAUAGUCAGGUAUUAACUAAUAUAGCUUCAUGGGAAUUGUGUGUGGACUCGCCAAGAUCAUAGUAUCCAUAAUAUAAAUGAAUUAUAAUUAAGGAUGAAACCAAGUAACCAUAGCAAUACACCUUAGUGACAUUGGGAACGCUCUGGAAACCUACAUGCUCCCGGAAAAUCCCAUAGGCAAAAAGCGUGACUGUUUUAGAUUCCACAAAUCAUAUUGCCGAAAGUCUGCAAGAUCCAUUUGAGGCCUUCCGCUUUGUUUUUUGACAGUAUGACGACCAUAUCUAUAUACAUUUCAGAACAUGACAUUUACAAUUCUUGGGCUUACAAGGAGCAUAAUGGAUCCUGGUUCAAGUAACACAGGUGCAAGGGAGAAAAUUCUAAAAUAGAGAUUCGAUGCGCAGACAAUGAAUGGGACAAAUUAAGAAGCAUCUCACCAGUAGUCAUUGGAUGAGCAUGUUCCGUCCGUAAAAUGGUGGAACUGGGUUCGCAUGCCUUACAACUAUAGAACUUCCGGUUGCCAUGGAAAUACACUUGAUUCUAUGAAGACAAUCUCUGCAAAUGCUAAGGUUCUUAAACACCCAGACAGGUUUCAGACUGGAGGUGCUUAAAAGGCCAAAAACAACAGCAAUUUUUUCAAGGUGCUGGAGCAAAUAUUGUUCCUUCUGUCCCUCCUCCACAUCAUGAAGAACAAAUUCAGUAUUGAGAACAUAACCAAGUUUCUUUAUACGACUAGCCAAUUGGUCCCGUUCGUCAUAGAUCUCCCGAGCCUCUGGGUGUGAUGUAUGAAACUUGUGAAC